ACAAACCACAACCUCGCAGAGCAAAAAUUUUUUUUUUUUUUUUUAGAGAGAUAGGUAGCACGUUAUCCGUUUCGUUUAUUUUAUUUAGAAAUAAAUUUAGCUGGAAAUGUGAAUCAAAUAGGAUUCGAACUUGAAUCUCGGAUACCAACUACCAAAUCCUUUGCCAAUUGCUCUAAGGACGGUCGGUCGCAGAGCAAAAAUAUUAAAAACUAACUUUGCUACUAUAUUAUCCAGCAGAUUAAUCUAUUGGAAUAAAUAUUAAUUAACAUAGUCAAUGAUACGGCAUGGCACUUGCCAUGAACAAAUUUUAAAACAGUGAUGAACCACGAUUAAUUGAAUCGCCUCUCUACAGAGAGACUUUUCGUACAGAUUUUAUUUGUGUAGAAGCUGUAGAAGAAUUGUGCUGCUCAAAAAAGCAAAGAAUUGGAGAUCAAAAUGUCAAAUGAUUACAACCAACGCAUUUGAAACCACAAGUAUAAUAGAAAAAAUUUUAUUUUACUAAAAGGGUUUCCAUGUUCAAUCCAUGAAGCCUCGUAUAUAAAAAAAAAUAAAUUUAAGACAACAUUAGCGCGAGGGCCCAAUGGGUCGCACUCGGACUACCUUGCAAAUGGGCCUACUAUUUUUACUAUUCUUCCUAGGAUGGGCCAAAUGGGCCCAUAGUGUCCUAGACAUCAUAUGCAGAUAAUUAAUUACAUUCUUAGUCAAUAAUUACAUUCUUAGUCAACUAUGCUAAUGAACCUUUAUGUUUGUUAAUGUUAGGGACAGCACUACCAUACUGAUGGAAAAUUAAAACUUCCGACAGCGCAUAAUGCAAGAUAUAUAUAUUUUUUUUCACACACCAGCUUAAAUUUUUCGCUUUAAUUCUAGAUGUUUCAGAGAUAUUAGAGCUUAGUUCGCACCUCCUUCCUGGCCUAACUUAUUUCGACUCGGUUGCAUCUUAAUCUAAUUUCUUCCUGUUCUUAACCGAGAUGGCAUCAUUUUCCAUCAAUGGUGACCCUCCUACAAAAUUAAAUAAGGGGAAGAGAAGUUUCAUUUAAGUUGCUUCAUGUGAUAAGUACUUUCCACGUGAAGCAAUACAUGUUUCUCCAAAUGUCUUCUCUUAAGUUAAUCAAAGCAUUCAUAUAAUAUUAUAUUUUAUCCCUUAAAACCUUACUCAUUCACACGUGUCCUCUAUCAGAAGUUUUGAUGCAAAAUUUAAAGCUAUCUACACUUCGCCAAAACGACUAUAUAUAUAUAUAUAUGUGCAAUUAAAAAUCCUAUCACUUUGAUGUUGAAGGUCCAAGUGAAGUGUACAUUAAGAGUUUAUUUCUUUUAUUUAUUUAUUUCCUGGUCCAACUCAUUAAAAUUUUGUGUCGAUCGCUUCUAAGUUAGAGCACAAUGUGCCAUGUGUCUCGAGUCGAUUGACAUUGUAACCGAGUCAUCGAACCCAUCGCUUUUAUAAUGACAGCAACUGGUUCGACCCUGACCACAUAAUUAGUCUCCAAUUAUUUAUAUCACGUCCCUAUCCAGUGCUAUAAUUUGCUAUGAAAUUGUACGUAAAUAUCAACCGUCCGAUCCCCAUCAGGCACCAGGGGCACAAUGUGAACUUUGGACACAUCACUCGCUGCACAUUGAAUAGUACACGGACACGCUUCUCGCGUUGCCCUGUUCACUACGUACGUGUACGUACUUGACUACGAAGUUAAAGUAGAGGAGUACUAUGCUUUUGAAAGUACAGAUACAUUCGUAAUUACAAGUUAUUUUUAAUAAUGAGAUAUUCAAUUCGACGAUCAGUUUCGUUAGACACAAUAUAUAUUAUUAAAAUUAUCUAGAAAUUAAAUUUUAUAAUUUUUUAACUCUAUUUGUCUAGUAAGCAAAUGGUCUCAAAAUAAACGGUUGAAAAUAAAAAUUUUAUAGAAAAUAGUGAUAAAAAAUUUACAGUUCAAAUCAGAAAUGUUGAUCUUGCUACUAAUGUUAAGUAAAAUUUUUUAUUAAAAUUUCAUGUUAUUUGAAUUGUUUUACCGUUGAACUUAAAAAUGUAUUACAUCGACUGUUAAAAUAACUAUUUUUUAGACUUUUUGAUCACUUAGUAAAUAAUUUCGAAAAAUUAUAAAAUCUUGUUUCUAAAUAGUUUUAAUAGUGUAGAUUAUCCCUAAUAGAGCCGAUUGUCGAAUCGGAUGUCUUAUCAUCGAAAAUAAUUUAUAAGUACAGAGGUAUUGAUACUUUUGAAAGCAGAAGAUAUAUAUAUAUAUUCUGAUUGAUGGAGAGGCACUCCACUAUUGCAACUUAAGAGAGAGAGAGAGAGACCAACAACUUAUUUACUAUGCAAUAAUAUAAAAACGUUAUGCAAAUUCAAAUCAAAUAAACCAUAGAAUCAAUAAUAAAGUGGAAUAAAAAAAAUAACAAUAAAUGAUAGGAAAAUGCUACCUAUCUGGACUCUUAUGCAUAGGUAUAAAUUUUACACCCCACGCAUCCUAGAGUUUACAAAAUAAGUUGAUAAAACAAGUGAAAAAUAAGAAUCUUUGGAUGAAUAGAAUGUGAGAUGAACACGUAAUCUAAAAGUGUACGGAUAGCAUGCUCCGAAUGAUAUUCACUUGAAAUAAAAGCUACAGAAUACCCUGAAUGCAACAAAAGCUACAGAAUACUCUGAAUGCUGAAACAAAAUAAGCCAUGCAGCAGUAAACUAUUUAACAGGAAAAACAAAUAACUCCUCCAUAUGUGAAAUUGAAGUAUCACGGGUAACAUCGUUAAUCUCCCUCAUAUUAUUCAACAACAAUUCACAGUAAAUUACUAGCCCUAAUUAACCCGUCGAAUGCUUAAAGCAAGCAUAUAACAUCUAAUAUUUUACUGUUACAAACAAGAAACAUAAGCAAUGGCUACANCUUUGUACUCAUAAGUUUUCGAUCAUUUAGAGGAAAAAAAUGUGCGGUUAGAAUGAAAAUGGUUACGAUUAAGUUGAUAGUGAGCCCCCUAGAGUUGAGUGGGUGAUUGGUUGAAUAGUAUAAUCUAACAUGUGAAAAUGAUUAUAGGGUAGAUCUAAUGAUCAAAAACUUAUGAGUACAAUAGGCUCUAUACUCAUAAAAGUAUAGUAGCCGGACUCUAUAUAUAUAUAUAUAUAUAUAUAUAUAUAAAGAGAGAGAGAGAGAGAGAGAGAUAGGCUGGAAUACUAUUGAUAAUAAAAGAUAUUUUUUACUAUCAAGUUUUUAACCCUUAAAUAAAAAAUUAUAGAAUUAGAAUAAUAUUAGUCUCUUAGAGUUGAAUGGUUUUUCUAGAAUUGAGUGGUUCCUACUGAGUUAUAAUAUUUAAUUCAAUAAUUAGAAAUAAUUAAAGGAAUUGAUCUAAAAGCUAAAAAUUUGAUAGCAAAACAGACUUUUUUAUUACCAAUAAUAUUCUAGCCCAACUAGCUCAACUCUGUCUCUGUCUCUGUCUCUCUCUCUCUACAAUGACUCUUCUACACUUCGUAGAUUAGCAAGUUCAAUAUGUCUAAAAGAUUAGUGUGUAUUAAAAAAUUAGGGACUAAAUUACAAUAAUAAAUAUUGUAAUACUACAAGGACUAACCAAACAGUAAAUUAACAUGGCCCCACAUGUCAUGGUGAUCUAAGCAAGUGCACAGAGGCGUUGCACUGUGAGGACACCUCCGUUUGCGUCCGCACCAAAAUUUCCACGCGGGAGUCCAUAUCGCACAAGUGGUGCGUUACGAGAAGUUCUACACUGUCACACUUACACCACAUCAUUAAAAAUAAAUUAAUUAUUUUUUUUUUAAAAUACAAUAAAAAUAUUUUUUUAUUAUUAUAAUGGGAUAUAUAUUUUUAAAAAAUUUUAUUUGAUUAAUUUGUGACGCGUGUUACUAGUAUAUCCCGCGAUACGCGAUGCUGUAACUUUACGCGCUAUUUGGCUCGCCCGCAUAGCCACACGUGUCCGCAUGCGGACGGGGUUAGCAUCUGUGUAACGUACCCGUUGGGCUCAAUCACCUACCACGGGAGUUUAACGACUCCUAUCCGUGACGUAGAAACUAUUAGAUGCACCCGGUGCACACACGCGGCACCCCAAAAAUAUAAGCUGGAGGUCUAGUUCAAUGAUACUUAAAAUUUUAUGUCAAAAAUAAAAUUUUAAUUAAUCUUUGUUCAUAAUUAUUUGUGUCGAUAAUAUAUUACUUGAUUUUUAGAUGAGAAAUUUCAAUACAUAUAAUUAUUUUUUUUCAACUUUAACAAAUUGAGUAAACUUGCUCAAUGUAUACAAAAUAUAAAGACUCUUGAAUUCAAGGGCGUUGUGACUUAGAUAAUAUUAUUUGACUCACCAAAAUUGAAAUAAAUAAUGUGACUUUAAAAUUAAACGCCCCAAUUAAGUAUUUUAGAUUUUUGCAGUAGAAUAAAAUUUUUAAGAAUAUUUUGUUUAAUGUUUCUUUUAAAAGCCCCUCUUAAGUGUUUUAUGUCUCAUAUCUCAUGAUGUACUACUGCUGUGCAUGACAUAUACUAAUACACCCGGUGCAACUACGUUUCCACGUUCCGUACGACUCAGAGGAGCACCGAGUGGUCCUGCUUACCGCCACCAACGAACGGUAACCCUACGACACUCCCCUGCCCCUUUGUAUUUAUAUCCCUCCGCCUCCCCCCAACCUCCUCUAAACCCCUCCCUCUCUCUCUCUUUCUCUCUCUCUCUCUCUCUCUCUCUCUCUCUCUUCCGCUACCAAUGGAGCCUUCUAGAAGCUGCAGCGUCCCCGCUCUUCUCCUCUCGCUCUUAACCCUAGCGACAUUAAUGGCGUCUCCGAGCGCCUACGUCUUCUACGUCGGCGGGAGAGACGGGUGGGUUCCGAACCCCUCCGAGAGCUACGCCGCCUGGUCCUCCAGAAACCGCUUCCAAGUCAACGACACCCUCGGUAUCAAAAACCCUAAUCCCCCUUAAUCUCAUCUCUUUUUGCCUUCCCCCACACCUCCCUAAUUUGCAAUGGGCUUUUGUAGUGUUCAAGUACAACAAAAGCGUGGACUCGGUGUUGGUGGUGGGCGCGGCGGCGUACGGCGCGUGCAACGUGAGCGGCCCGGUUCAGCGGAUGGACACCGGCGACGACGCUUUCCGGCUCGACCGGUCCGGCCCGUUUUACUUCAUCAGCGGUUCAUCGGACCGGUGCGCGAACGGGGAGAAGCUCCUGGUGGUGGUGUUGGCCGUUCGAAACAAACCGCCGCCGCCGUCAACCCCCGCCGCCCCCGUUACGUCCCGCCCGAGCCCCAUCCGUUAUCUCCACCGCCGUUUACUCCCUUCCCUUCCCUCCCAUCCCCAUCCCCAUCCCCGUCCCCGUCCUCUCCACUCCCACAUCGUCCCCACAACUUCCCAGGAACUCGCCCGCCUGCUCAGCUCCGUCGCCGCCGGUCCCCGCGACGACUCCGACCUCUCCGUCGCAGGGCCGAAUGCGGCGGGACUCCGACCGCGCCGUCCUCCGGCGGCGGAGGGGCUUCUCCUCCGGCGUCGUCUUCUCCGCCCUCGCCGCCCUCCUCCUCCGCUUCCCCUGGUUUGAAAGCAUCUGGGAUCGAGAUUGCAUCCGUGGUCUCGUUGCUUAGUAUGGUAAUCUUUUUGAGCUGAUUUGAUUCCUGCAAUAAUAGAUCCUAGUCUUAUGAGAUUGUUCGUUUUGGUUCGUAUCGGAUUAUGAGAUUACCUGUUUCUUUUCGUUUUGUUUGUGAAUAAAAUGAUGCACAAUAGGAUUGAUUUUUUUUUUUUUUAUAAAUACCUAGAUUACUUUUUCCCCUGCAAACAUGGUGUGUAGAUAAAUGAAUGGUAAGGUUAAUGUAUAGUACUUAUCUAAACUAUAUUCCAUUUUGAUCCAAAUAUUUAAUAUUUUAAAAAUAAUAAUUCUGUUAAUUAUCUAAUCUUUUAUUUCAUUUGAUUUUAGUCUUUUAUUAGUGAUUCUUAAUUUUAUAUAAUUUAUGCAACAAUAGAAUAGCAUUAGAAUAGCCAUUUAAUGAUUUAUAUCAGGUAAACUGAAAUGUUGGAUAUCAAAAUCAAACUUUUCAAAAGCUGUAUAGCUGAAUCGCAAUGGGCGAAAAUUGAGAUAAGUUUUAUACGUUUUUAUCUAAAUAAAUUUUUAGUGUGCAAAAAAAUUCUGCACAUCUAGUGAUAAGAACCAAGUUUUUCUUAUUAAACCACGAGAGUUACAUGUUUGUGUUGUCAUUUUUAUUUGAGAGCGUUCUUGUACAAGUAUUGACUUUUAUUUUGGCCGGUAUUUCUUAUGGUCUUUAAUUGCCUCCACUUUUCCGCGGCAUUACUUUUGUGUGGUAUUAGAUGUUGAUGCAUUUGACCAUGAAAAAUACGUUUCUUUUACUCUGCAAGAUUAUAUAUAUAUAUAUAUAUAUAUAUAUAUAUAUAUAUUAUAUAUAUAUAAUUAUAUAUAUAUAUAUUAUAUAUAUAUGCUUGGAGUGUAAAUUUCGGCAUGAUCAGUUAUUUAAUUUAUCAUAAAAUUUUAGUAAAAUCAGUAGAUUUAAUUUAUUUUAUUUAGUUUCUGAACUUCAAUUGCCGACUCUGUUGAGGCAUUAUUUUGCAUGUUUAUAAGCCUCACAUUUGAUAUAAAAUUUACUUUUUUAAUUUGGCAUUUAUUAUAUGAUGUCUAGUGUGUAUGGGUAAGGGCUUACAUAUACCGAACAUUGAGAAAGUGAAUUAAUAAUGUCUAAUUAAUUCUAACUUUGAUUGUUCCUGGUCCUCACAAAUGAAGGUCAGAUUUUUUUAAAAAAAUUUUAUUUCACUCUUUGUGUUUUAAACUUUAUUUCCACACAGGAGUUAUUAUUAUUAUUAUUACAAUUAUUUUUGUACACACACCCUACAAAUAUUUUAAAUUAUGCAAUUUCCUUUAAAAAGUAGUUCCAUUUUUUGUGUCUUCUUGAUACUAGGGUAUUUGCAGAAAUGAAUAAGGCUGUUUCUCAAUUACGUAGGGGCAUGAACAUAAUUCACAUCAAUUGUUAUAGUGUUAUUAUGUAAGCGAAAAAAAAUAAAAAAAAAAGGGAGCCCUUUUCAAUCAAGAAAGAAGAGGCUUCAUGAAUAGCUGUGUGAAAUGGUUUUGAGCCGGAAAAGUCUAAAAUGUAUCAUAAUUAGAUUAUUUCUUUGGAUUCUUCGAUUCCAUUAUAAUUAUUAAAAUAAUAUUUUAUUAUAUUUUUUUAAAAAAUAUAAUUAAUUGCUUAUUAAUAAUGUAGUAUACUAAGUGUUACGUGACAGACAUUUUCGAUCUGAUCUAAUGGUAUAGUACAUGGAAAAUAGGAUACUUUGAAAUGAUUCGAUUCGAACAUGGAUCGAGCGCCAUGCAGACCACACCAGAGUUAAAACAUGGCAUGUAUUGUUUACGCGCUUUUUUCCGGAUAAUUGCAGCACCCAUGAGUUGUACGAAAUAUUUUUUUUAAGAGAUAGGUAGUAUGUUAUUCGUUUCGUUUUUCUUAUUUAGAAAUAAACUUAGCUGAAAAUAUAAAUCAAUUAGGAUUCGAACCGGAUACUUUAAGUAUUAGCUAUUAAAUUUUUUAUCAUUUACGCUAGAAACGAUGGAUGAGUUGUACGGAAUGUUGAUAGAGAAAUGUGCCUGUUCCUUCAAACAAUGCAUCGAUCAAUCCGUCGUUUAGUACUAUUUAUGAUAGAAUUGGUGAUGUAUACAUAAUGUUGCAUUUCCUCUCCUUUUCCUACCUCCGUACUGCUUCAAUAAUACAAUCCAGCGCUUGUAUUUAGGGUACCUCAUUUGCGGCUCAUGUAUAGUGGGGCACAUGCAUGAAUCUACCGAUCUCGCAUCAUAUAUUUUUUUGGAGAGAUAAAUAGUAUGCUAUCCGCUUCGGUUUAUUUUUUAUUUCAUCAAAAUUUCUAUGUAAAUGAGGUGGUAAAAUAAAAAUUUUGUAAAAAAAUCACAACAGAGUAAGUUAAAAAUAUGCAUAUCCACAGAAAGGUAAAGUGAAAAUAUUUAAGCCACAUGAUGGUGAAGUGAAAAGGGAAUAUACCAUAAAAGAGGUAAUUUGAAGCCUAUUCUAAAAUAAAUAAUGAGACAUGCGAGGUUUGUUGAUUUAAAUUCACAAUCUUUCACUAUAUGCAAAAUCUAACCCUUUUUGGUUAAAAGUAUGAUGUAUUUUUCUACACACACACACACACAAAAGGAACAUACAUUUUAAAUGCAGGAAGAAGAUCUUAUUACAACACCUAAUUUAACGCAACUUGGUGAGGAAUAUGAUCAUAUGAUAAUUCCACCAUGAUGUUUUCAAAUUACGCAAUGCUCAUCCUGCAUUCCAAACACAAUCGGGUAAAAUUCAGAAUAUUCUCUCCGAUCCGUAACCUUGAAGAGAUCAUAAAUUCAUAAUACACCCGAUUCUCUCCGACCCGUAACCUUUAAAGAGAUCCGGAUAUAUACACCCGAAUCCGACUGAGUCCCACGCGCGCACAAACCACAACUCUAUAGCCGUUCACUCAAUCGCAACAAUCUCCAACAACUCUUAACAAACUUAUAACAUUCCAUCCCCGUGAGCUUCGCCCGUUUAAGCAACUAACUCCUCCCCCCUUCUUACAUACAACGAUCAAAACGCAUUACAAAUUACAAAAUAAUAAUAAUAAUAAUAAUAAUAAUAAUAAUAAUAAUAAGAAACCCCCUCUAAUCCCAGAAAGCACCCAGUCCCAAUGGCUCUUCGCUUCUGCUUCCUCUUUCUCCUCCUAUCAGCUUUAGCUUUUGUCCCGUCCCAGCCGAAGCUGACGGACGCGACCUCCGUAGUCCAAUGGACCCUUUCGCGGGGGUCGAAGGGAUGCGACGGUUUUGUCGCUGGACAAUGCGCGGACGAGGACGAGGAUGAGCAAAUAGGCGCAGAGGCGGCGGCGGCAGCAAUGGUAAGAAGGGUUCUUUAUGGGAACGGGCAACGGUACAUAAGCUACGGUGCGCUUAAACGAGACCAGAUACCGUGCUCGAGGCGCGGGCAAUCGUACUACAAUUGCAAACGCCACGGUAAGGCCAAUCCUUACAGGCGCGGGUGCAGUAUGAUCACCCAUUGCGCGCGGAUUCUGCACUAGCUUAUCAUCUUUUUUAUGUUGCUGCUAUUAUUAUUACGAGCUUUUGCAUAUGCUUUUGCGUAUGAUAUGAUGUUUAAUAAUAGAUACAGUAUUAUUAUUAUUUUUUGUACUUAUCUACUAAUGUACGUCGCAAUGUGAAUUACGUUAAUAAAUGUAUUUUAUGUUCUAAUUUAUAUUUAUCCGUUUGAUUUUGAAUAAUAGGAUGAGAUUAAGGUUUUGAACAGUAAAUAUAUUGAGACUCAAAGAUGUAGCAAGAGCAUUGUUUAGAAGUAUACAUAUUGAUAAUUAAAAGUUCAUAGAGAAUGAUUAGUUAGAGCUUCUGUAAAUUGAAAACCAACAAAAAAAAAAAAAGAAAGAAAACAAAUUAAAAUUUAGGGUAGAUAUUAAGAUUGUAAAUUGAGAUCAAGUCCUCCGAAAAAAGAAAAAUGCGAAAAAGAGGAAAAAAUUGUUUAACAAUAAUAUAUAUUUUUGAUAACUACUCCAGUAAUCAAAUAAGAAACAUAGAAGGAAAAACUGGGAAAAGAAAAGGGAUCAAAAUAACCAUUAUUAAGAAUAAAAAGGGGACUCAGAAAGAACGUAGCAAAUUAGAAGAUUAAUCAUCUUCAAAUAUGAAUCAUUGUAAUUAAGAUUAUCUCAUCCUCGUCCCCUUAAUUUGAAAUAUUUUCUCUUCAUUUCGAAAAAAAAAACAAAAAAAUCAGAGAGAGAACGAUAAUGGAACAUAGGGAGCUUCCACGCCGAGUGCGGCUGCUUUAAUAUGUGCGAAGUGAAUGCCUCGAAAAACCCUAGACUCUGCUACAUGGAUUGUGAACCGUGUGAUCCGAAAUCGACGAUCGAGAAUGAAGGGCUUAUAUCAAAAUGGACUUAUAUCAAAUGGACCGGCCCAAGAUCGGCCCAUUAGUGCAAUUACUUAAUGGGUCGUUGUAGUUGAGGCCUUUUUUGUUGGCAAUGGGUCCAUUAGGCCACAUCCGAAUUGUUGAGUGCAAUAUAUGAAUUUGUUGAUUAACACACACAAGAAAUUUGCUUUAGCAUUAUCAAAAUCCUAAGAUGCAGGUUGAGAUAUUGAUUCAAUUACUUCAAUACAUUAAGGCUCCAUUCGGACUUACGAAAAGAUUACGUAACGAAUGGUGAAAAGGUAUAAUGAUAAAAUGGCAUGUUUGUUUCCACAAGAAAUACCACAUUCUGUAUCUCGUGAAUCAGUUCUGAUAUAUUUUAUAUAUUCUCACCAAAAAGUGAAAAAAAAUAUAUUUCUAUGUGCUUUUGUUCCGACUCCGUUUUAUUUAUUAGAUAGGCUUUAGUACCAAACAGAUCCUAAGAUAACCGUAGAACCAAAUCGUGCUUGGCUUUAAACGACUUGAGCCUGAUAUGUUACUGAACGGAGGCCGGCCCGAGUGCUAGAACUACAAAAAUAUGGUGUAUAAAGAAGUUUCAAAUUUGAGUUUCUACCUCUUCAAUGAGCUACACGUUUAGUAAUAUCUUCAAAUAUGCGGUCUUCAACAUUUGCUCCCUUUGUUUUUGACAUGCGUACUGAAUGAAAAGAACACUAGAAAGUCCCACGCACUUCUCAUUUUUGUGAUCAAAGAAACUCCUGUAUUUUUCGUGACAUGUUUCGGAUCCUUUCGAAAUUGUCAACAUCAACUUUCCAUUGAAGAAUCUCAUUCUCCACUUCUUGCUUUGCUACUCUUAUGUUUACACACAUUUUUUGUGAUAUGAUUGCAGGGAAUGUGUGACCUGUGGGUUUGAGCUCCAUAUAUUUAAGAAUGAGUACCUAGUGUGAGAAUAUGUGUGGUGACAGAGAAUAACAUAGGAAGGUAUAUUAGGUGCUUUUGUCUCAGUAGAGUUUUCUACUAUAUAUCUAUGAAUAGAGCCAUUGACAAGGAUGAUGCUCAUAUAAAGAUGAGUUUAUGACAUGAAAUGGAUAAAGAGAUACAAGCUUAUCCAAAAGGUUCUAUCUAGGAUUGCGAUUGUAGAUGAUGCGAUGUACUCUUAUUCAUCGAAAUGCUCUUUUGUUUUUUGUUUUUUAAACAACUUUUAGUAAGUCGUAUUUCAAUAUUAAGUACGUUAAGCAAGACUACUCUCGAGCUACUUUUCAUUAAAAUUAGCUUAUGGGUUAUUAGCAUUUACCAUUACAAAGCACAAACUUUUACCUGUCGUCCUUUUUAUUAUGUCUUCAAUUUGUCUAGUGCACAUAUAUUGUGAUUCAGUUAGUCUCUAGUAUUGUAAAUAUGGUAUUAUAUCGAUCUUUUUGAGUAAUAUAGCGAACAAAGGUUCUGUAGCUUUACUAGAGAUUAAGAUCAACUCCUUGAUUUACUUCCGCAAAGAAGCCUAGCACAUAGGAUUCUCCCAAUUUGUCUAUAUUAUAAGAGGAGGCAUAUCUUUAAGUGAGACAAAGUAGAGCAUAAAGAGGUGACAAAUGGUGGGUGUCUCCACCAUUUCUGAGAACCAAAAUGCAUCAUCUAUUUGCAUGGUCCCAGCCACUGCACUAAAUACAUAUGAGGGGAAUUAAGCCACAAUCUAUUUAUUAUGAGUUGGCCUCUUUCAUAGAGUACUCUUGAGAGAGAGAGAGAGAGAGAGAUCUAGAGAGAGCUGUACAAAUUAAAAAUGAAUUACGAAUUUUCUUAUAUUGAGGGCUUUUUUAUGUAGGAAAAAGCAAAAUUAAAGAAAAACUUUACUAGUGUAUACGUCAAGUUAGGUAAGAACACGAGAGACAUAGUCUAAGCAAGCGUGAAUUACCGGUAUAUGACUUUACUGUAAUACAAUAUUGAACAAUCAUGUAUUUUCUAAUAAGUUUAUGUUACAAGUGAAUGGUGUUUCAGAAACGAGGGACAUAUGACAAACUCCCGUAAGCUAUUUGACUCGUUGGCUGAUAUAUAUUGUUAACGUACUCCGUGCACCAGAUCAUGGGUUCAAUUCACGCUUUAAGCCCGAACAUAUGUAUUCAUACGUGGUUGCUUACAAACUUUGUUAAUACAGAGAAAAACUAAAUAAAUAAAAGAAAAACCAGCAAAUGGAGAAAUGAAGAAUACGUGGUCCAACCCUGAGCUAUUGUUUUUGGAAGAGUAGUAAAUCAUGGUUUGGGUGGGUUUGUUAUUAUGCACUUAAUUGCUGAGUCAAAGAAGACUUGUUAGUUGAGAGACUAGUCAAAUUGAAACAUGAUUGGUACCAUUGAUAGUACCAUUAAUUGGGCACUAUUGUAGAUAGAGAGAUUUCCAGAGAGAGAGAGGGGAAUAACAAGUGAAGUAUAUACAUUGACUAGGAAAUUCAAGUAGAAAAGAACAUGUGAGGCUCCAACUCAAAUGGGGGCUUUUGGUUACAGGGUCCAAACAGUGGUUGGGAAAAGUUGUUCAAAGGAGCACAACCUGACAAGUAGUGGGUGACCCUAAAAACAAGCCAAGGUCUCUCUCUUUUGGAAAAUUAUAUUUACUUGCACCAGGUGCAUCCUCUUGGUCCUUGCACUGCUCCCUCUCAGCUACCCAUUACAUCUCAUAUUAAUAUAAUUAUCAUUACUUAUUACUAUUAUUAUCUAAAACAUCGUUCUAGUAUGAAUUGGUGAUGUGCAUGGCAGAUAUUAUUAGGUAAUCAAACUCUUGAACCUUUGGAAUAAAGAGGGCUCAAUAGAUUUGGCUCUAAAACUAUGUAGCCCAAAAGGUCGAUCUAAUACAAAAAUNUUUUUUUUUUUGAUUAAACAGGGGUUCGCCUGUUUGGUAGGGGAAUACAAGCAGAGGGGACAAAGGGAGGCUUGUUCAGAGGAGAACGAGCAGAGUACAAGAGGUAGAGUGGGAGAAGCAAAUUAGUCUAGCAAUAUUGAUCGCACAAGUUUCCAAACUCGGCCACGAUCUGUUGGUUGGUUACCUCCUCCACACGUACAUCCAGAGCUUGACUAAGCAGGUGACGGUCUUGCCCAGUUCUUCGCUAGAAGUGCGGCGAUUGGUAAAGAGUCUCGAGUUUCGCUCUUUCCAUAUUUCCCAGCAAGCUGCCACAAAGCAUAAGUCAAACCAAGAUUUUGCAGCUCCCGACAACACGUUCCUGCAGCUCUUCCAUCUCGUGGGAAUGUCUCCGGCUGCUGUCCGCAGUUGAACGGCGAUGUUCUGUAAACCUGAAAGUAUCGCGUUCCACGUAGCUCGCGCAAAAAUGUCGAAUAUUAAUCUUAACAAUUGCAUGGCUGAGUUUUUUCCUUAUUCAAGAAUAAGGUGAUUUGGAUGAUUGGAUAUGUAGUAUGUUCUGAGUUAAGCGAAUGAUGAAUCCAAUGCACAUUUCUGAUAUCGUGUGCACGGUGUACACAAUGUCUUGUCACUCUCUUGUUAGCUGCACAGUCACCCCCAAUUGUUGACUGGUUGGCCAUACUCGUUGAAUUACAGGUUAAUACGAGCUCCUCUGUAAUGCCGCUUUUAUAAAUUAUAUAUAUAUAUAUAUAUAUAUAUAUAUAUACUAAUAUACUAUAUAUAUAUAUAUAUAUAUGUAUGUACAUAACUUAUAGAUACCGAAGGAAAAGUUCAAUAUACGCUCUCACAAAAAUCCAUUCUAAUUUAUGCUUCAAAGGAGAGAGAGUUAUAAAAUUCGUUGCUACUUGGAAAUUGCUGCUCUACAAUCUGAGUUCGAAUUAGGUCUCUUGUGGUUGGUUAUACAGCUGCGUACAAAAAAAUAAUAAUAAAAAAAAAGGAAAAAAAAAAAGAUUGACCCACUUGAGCCACCCACAAGUUUUUCAAAGUUAGGCCUACUAAUCAUGACUAAGUCCACUAUUAGAGGGUGGAAUAAGAUUACUACACAAAGCAACCAUGAAGAAUACACACAUUUGAUGACCCCAGUUGGCUGUACGUCUAUGUCCGCGUAUCAAUUCCUUUUCUUUCGUGUGCUUUCGCUUUAAUUUCUUACUUUUAAUACUACAAUCCCAUUCGUACGCAAAUUAGUCCUGUAAUAUCAUUUGAGUAUAAUCGAGACCGAGCCGGAAAUACGUGAUUUAUCAUCUAAGCUAACGUGGUUUGAUUCUGUACGUGAGUGAUCUUCAGAGAGAAUCGUCGCCGCUAGCUGGUGGGGCUCCUUCCAAUUGUGGCAAACAGUGCCUUACUGAGCAAACUGCUGCACCUAAGAAGUGGUGGGUCAUUUAGAAUAGUUGAAACGUUGAAUUGAGUGGAGAGGUGAGAGAUAGAUGUUGCUCUCAAGGCCGGCCCUUAAUGGGAAUGAGAUAAGAUGCUACCUUUCUCUUCUUCCUUUGUAGUGGAACUAAUUUUAGUAUGCUCCCCACUGGGCCUUUGCUUUGCAUCUUAUUAGAGAGAGAGAGAGAGAGAGAGAGAGAGAUUGGUGGAAGAAUAAAAAGUUGACUAAAGUAGUAAAGAUAUAUAUGCAUGCAAUUUGAACUUCUUUUGGAGUUCAAAUACACAGUCAUUUAAUUUGGGAGGUUAAAACUCUUAUAAACCGACUCAAGAUUAAUCCAAGAAUGUUUUGUGGCUAUUUCAUAUGACUUCUAGAGUAGCUAUUUUAGUUAGGAAACAAAGAUGGGGCAUAUGACAAUUUUAAAAGUCUAAUAAAGCUCCUACCUAUGCAAAAGUGCUGAAUGGUCCCUUUAUUAAUAAUUAAUACCAAGCGAUGCUCCCUCUUACUGCUAAUUAAAAAAUACUAAAAAAUUCAAAAAACUAUUGGUUAGCAAACAUGUUUAUUUGCUUUUGUUUUCUUCCUUUUUUGGCUAAGCUGGUAGAAACUGCAGAGUAAUUAUAAAGUUUAAUAUAUUUACCGUUUACAUUGACUGUAAAUACAUAGCUUUUAUACCGCUGAAACUUUUAUAAAUAAAUAAAUAAUUCUUUUAAUCAAAAUGCAAACUUAUUCCACCUCUCUCUAUCGUUUAAUUUAAAUUUUAAAUAUUUUAAAUUUAUCAAAACUAUUUGGAGUCCGUACACACACAGAUAGCGUAUAGUAAAAGUUUGGUAAAACGAAGUGCGACACAUUCGUAUCGAGCUUUGGUCAUGGAGACGUGCAUGUACAUUCAUGUACCACCGCAACGACUACAUCAAAUCAAAGGAGAAAGAGGAAUAAGAAUAAGCGCAGGAGAAGAAGAAGAAGCAGGAGAAGAAGAAGAAGAAGAGGGGAGAAGAGGGGAGAAGGGCAAAACAGUAAUUUCAAAGGGCUUCACAUUGAAGGGGUCCCUGAAGUCAAUGGCUCCAGCCUUUUUCUCCACGGACAUCCUUGUCUACUUCCUCCCAUAAAUUUCCCGGAAUUAAUUAUUUGGCCGGAAACCGUUGUGCAUUUUCCCAUGAAAAUUAACACUUCCCCAAAAAUCUCUUCCCCCAUUCCCCCCCACCUCCUCCUCCUCCUCUUCUUCCUCUCAAUAGAGACUCUCUGACAGAGAGAGAGAGAGAGAGAGAAAAAGAAAAAGAGAGAAUGGAAACUCACCCCUCUCCCCAACCCACUUCCCCGAACUCCACUUCCUCCUCCUCCUCCUCCUGCAACAACAACAACAACAACAACAACAAGAACAACAAUGCCACAACACCAUUAGCAUCAAAGACACCCACAACCCCGAUUUCCGCAGCUGCUCCUGUAAUCUUACCCAGAUUACCAAAUAUGAAUUCGAAAUCCGUCGAUUCGAAUCCGUAUCCGACGACCUUCAUCCAGGCCGACACCGCGUCCUUCAAACAAGUCGUCCAGAUGCUCACCGGCUCCGCCGCGGCCGCCGGGAAGCACGCCGUGGCCCCGUCGUCGCUCCCCAGAAACGCCGUCCUGCCGCCGAAGAGGCCGGCUUUCAAGCUCUACGAGCGCCGCAGCGGACUCAGGAACCUCAAAACCAUCAGCCCGCUCGCGCCCGCCUCCCGCAACUCCGCCUCCGGCUUCUCCCCCCGCCGCCGGCAGCAGCAGCAGCAGCAGCAGCAGCCGGAGAUUUUGUCGCCCAGCGUGCUCGACUUCCCGGCCCUGGCGCUCAGCCCCGUCACGCCGCUGAAUCCCGAUCCGUUCAAUCGGUCGCCGCAGCCCAAUUCGGCGGCGGCGGUGGCCGACGAGGAGAGGGCGAUCGCGGAGAAGGGCUUUUACUUGCACCCCUCCCCACGGAGCGCGGAGCCGCCGCGGCUGCUGCCGCUGUUCCCGGUGACCUCGCCGAGGGCCUGCCCGGCCUCCGCCGCGGCUACCGCUACAGGAUCUUUUCCCUGAAGCCACCGCCACGUAAAAAAAAAUUAUACAGUACUUUUCUGUUUGUAGCGACGGACGGAUGAUGUAUUUUCAGAGAUGCGGUGUUUCAAUUUGAACCGCUUCAAUUGUUGUUAUAAUGCAAUCUCUCUUUGAAUUCUCUCUUGUGGCUCCGUCAGGAGAAGUUAAUUGUAAGUGAUGAUUAAUUUUAACAUGCAUGAUUUGCCUAAGAUUUAGAUAAAUAUUAGCUUAAUUUCUCUUGAUUAGGAAAAUUAGCAGAUGAGUUUGACGGAUUGAGAGAUUGAUUGGUUUGGUAACAAGAGAAAAGAAACUCUUCUCCAUAUUAAGAACAUUCCGUUCUAACUUGUCAAUACCUUUUUUUUCGAAAAAAAUAGAUAAAAAGAGGAAAAAGAGAGAAAUUGUGAAGUGUGAACUUGUUUACAUGAUUAAAAUUGACGUGUGAAACCCCCCCAUGUCUAGUGACCUCGCAUGUGAGUUUAAUUUGCUAUCUAUGUACAUAACAGUAACACUAAACAAACUAUACAACUCAGUAAGUAUAACUUUAUACUUACAAGUUAUGCUUUAUCUUCUCCUGAUUUAUAUGUCGUCACCAAACAAAUAUCGUCACGUAUGUUAGUUUGUAAAAAAUUAUAAUAUUUAUUUUAACUAUAGUACUAAUUUUUUUUUUCUAAAACACUAUCUCUAGAUUCGAUAUAUAUUAAACCUAAAGUUGGGGACUCGAGUUUCAAAUUUACGGACGCAAAAAAAACUCGAAUCCUGUGUCUUUAAAAUAGACUAUUAGGAACAUUAUUACUAGGCUAGACUAUUAGUGAUUUGGUCUCUCUCUGCUAAAUUAAAAGCAAGAAAUAAGAGCCUAGUAGUUCCUAACCUAUGCCUAUUUAAAUAGCAAAAGAUUGUUGUUGGCUAAGAAAUGGAAAAUUUCGUCCUAAGUUAAAUAGGAAUUGUAGCUACAAGCUACAAUUUUCACUACAAAUCUUCUGGAAUUAAUACUUAUCUUAUAAAUUAUUAAUUUAUUUGUGUACAUAUAUAUAUAUGAUAUAAAAAUUUUGAUUAGUUUAUAUACAUAACAAAAUAAAAUUCAUAUAAAUUUAUCGAUAAAUUAUCAGUUCAUAGAUUACUUUCCGCUUCUUAAUUACUUUCCACUUCUCGUCUCUCAACUGCUAACUUAAAUUUUAUUUUAGUCACAAAACUUCUAAUUUUUUCACAUUUCAAACUUCAAAAGUUUAGCAAUGUUUUAAAUGAUUUCCUAAAAUUUUAAUAGUGUUUUCUUUUAAUUCUUAUUUUGGAGUGGUAUUUAAUGUUCAUAUAUGUCAUGAAUGCGUGGGUCAUUCAUUUAUUUUAUGUUUUUAAUUAGUUUAAUGGCCCAAUUUUUAAAUAGACAAAAAAAAUUAUAAUUUAAUAGAUGAUAGGAUUUAAAUAUGAGAUGAUAAUUAAUAUGUACAAGAACUGAAGUAAAACUAUGAAAAAAGUUAAUAAUUUGUUGAGUAUGAAAACUAAAAAUAGCAUUUUUUUAGAAGCUCAUAUUUUUUGAAAACAACGGUUGUUUUAUAUAAUUUAACACGAUAUCAGUACAUGAGGUUCUGAGUUUAAGUCACGCUAGACUCAUAACAUUAUAGAAUUUUUUUCAUCGUCUCGCGUUUAUCAAAAUGCCUCGAGUCCAGAUAUUUUCUCUAAAAGUUCAAGCAUUGAAGAACAAACUUUCACUAUACACAUGAGACUUAGACGAGCACUUUAGGCCAGGCUGGUCUCGCCGGCUUUUGUUUGGGCUCAGAGAACUUUUGGAUGCUAAUGCUUCUCAUCACACAAACUCCAAAGAGUGACAACAACUAGAAAAGAUCAUGAUAUUAUCCAAAAAAAGUUUGUUACUUAUCGAAAAAACAUUAUUGAAUUUAAUCGGAGUUUAUAUGAUAAUUUUGACCAGAUUCAAUAUUAAUUAUGUAACGAUGUAGGUGCAGGCAAAAUGAUCGAGGGUUCGAAGUUCCGACCUUUUAAAAGCCUCUCGGGAGGGUUUAGUGCUACCUCACUUUUUAGGUAAUUAAUUUCUCCUUGUAUAUUUGACAAUGUAGCUAGAGCGAGUUGGGACCAUGGGCGAUAGAGAAUCUAUUGAUUAGUCUCAGGUUAGAUGAACUUCUUCGCUACUAGUGUGAAGUGUGAACCAAGUGAGACAAAUGUAACGUGACUGUGCCGACACAAUAAUUCACUACUCUUCUAAAUAUUUAUGAUUGUCACUUUGACUUAUAGGAAUCGUUAUAUGGACUCUUGUACUAUCAUUCAUUCAUUUUAUAUUUUUUUUGCAUUUUUUUGUUCGGAGAAAAAUGUUAUUUACGUGGAUGAGGAGUUAGGCAAAGCACCAUUAAAAUUUGGUACUUCACUAUAAAAGUUAAAAAUAAGAGGAAUAAUUUUCGUUGUACAUCUUCUUUUCUUCUUUUUUUCUUUUUUCUUUUUUUUCUUUUUUUGACCUUUGAUUACAAAUUCGCGGCAUUCAAAGACAAAGUCCAUAUCAUAUUAAUUAAUAAGAUGAGACAUUACAAAGUUAUUAGUCUAAUCGAUUAAAAAAAAUAAUAAUAAGCCCUCAAUAAGUGUGAGAACAUCAUGCAAAAAAUAUUUCAACUUAGAAAUAAUGAGAUGGCGAUUGCACUCAUUUAACAACAUCUUCGCCUGAUUGUAUUUAAUUAGCAUCUGCCUCUGACAUUCAUUGUCUACCAAAAACGGCCAUUUCAUUUCAGAGUGUCACAUGAUAUAAUUGAAUAAUAAUUGACUUAUACUAGGGGUCUAGUUGAAGCGUUAUGAUCGCAACGAGACAUGUCGAACCAUUGAGCCUGAUGGAUUAUGUUUCUAUUUUAUUCGAUCAUGUUGUGUAUCAAACUCUGCAAAUGAAUUUUGCCUCACGCGCGACUUGGAUUAGGAAAAGAAAAAAGAAAAUAAGCCUAAAGGAUAGUCAUGUUCGUAUAGUACAAAUGUAAACAAAGUCCAACGGUUACUUAUAAUUGAUUAGUCUUUCAUUAUUAUUAUAAAUAUAAAUUAAAGGCCGAAAAAUAAGGGCGAAUGAGUCCAUUCUGAGGUAAAGAAUCCAAUUAAAAACAAAAUAAAAAAACUAAUAUCUAAUCUUCGAGGAAGCUCACUCGCGGGAUCACGCGAUCCCUCGGUCAAUCAAUGGGAAAGCAUUGCACAGACCGGGUGUACCACGUCAUCCAUGAGCCUUUUAUUUCUUUUUUAAUGUUUAUUAGAUAUUAGAUUAUAAAGCCGUAGUUGUAUUAACUCCGCCACUGAUCUUAGCACGUCCCAAACGCACGAGUUGACUCCAUUUUUAGCUUUUCUUUUGUUAUUUAAGUCUCCUUGAAAACAAGAAAAGGUGAUACAUUAUUCUAUGGUUCUGUGUUGAUAUCUUCUUUGGCACAUUGUAAGAGUGUAUAAGAGUUUUAAUUGAUUUAGAGCACGAAUAAACCGAGGUCAGCGAAUAUUAAUACCUCCAGACGUACAUAAAUUUUAAAGAGAUAAAUGACUACAGCUCAUCUAAAAAGAAAUUACUAAAGUAACGAAGAUAUAAAAAUGGCCAUAGAAACUGUUAUUCGCAGUUCUACGAAAGAGCUUACCAAUCAUGCAAUUACCAAGGGAGAAAAGCACAAUGAAGACGACGCUAAAAAUACAAACUUUGGUAUCGAAAGUUCUUAUGCGUCAAUUUUUUUUUUUUUUUUUUCCGACAGAAAAAUCUAAUGUUUUACGCCAUCUCUUGUUGCAUCAUCCCCGAGAAUUAAGUGUCUUCAAGCAAGGGACCACCUAGAGAUGAUAGAGACCUUCAUGAAAAAUAAAGCUCACAAAUACCGAAUCAACUCGACUGCAUAUUUUCCUUUCCUCGUCGUUGCGAUCUCUCCAAUCUGUAAAAAUCACCCAAAAGAGCAUAAACUUGCAAUAAAAAGGGGAAGAGAUGAAGAGUACAAAGCGAAAGACUGCAGUAGUGGAUACACAAAGCACAGUAAUUUUGAGUAUUAAUUCUUCAUAUAGUAACCUCAUCUCUAAAAAUGGCUCCUAAAUUAAUUUUGGUUCAACAUUUUUUUUUUUUUUGGGGAGAAGUUCAGCAUUUUUUUUGUUGAGGUUUUCGGUGUGCAUUCCAAGUGUCUGAUUGGUGUUGCUGCUUGAAGUCCAAUUAACUUUACGAACACAGUUAACAGAGUAAUAUGCAAGAUGAUAAAAAUUGUGAUUUACCUUCAGCCUCCCCUUUCCACUAACAGAGACGACAUCCCCCGUCUUAAGUGUAGCUCCAUUUUUCAUCACAGGUGACCAAUUCACUCGCACACCACCAUUACUGGAGGAAAGACAGCGAGAGAGGAUGCAUUAGUAAAACUAUGCAAUACGCAGCGGGCAUUAACAAUAGCUAGCAAAUCCUUGCAAUCUUAACUAAUUAAACAGAACAAUAAAUCAUGCCAGAGAGAGCCGAGCAAGCAAGCAAUUGCCCAAACCCGUUAACCCGUGUUGCAAAUCAUGACAAACAUUACGCAUAACAUAACAGCAAAUACUUGUCAUUUGAAGUAAGUUGCUGCAUCAAUUCCAAAUAAUAAGUCGUUAAAUGUAGAUUCCUUUUUUCCCAUUCAACGAAUGGCUGAGUAGUAGCAUCAUAGUCAGGUUGAUACUGCAGGAAGUUAACUGGCUAAACAAAGAGCAUAACUAGCUCUCGUAGAGGAUAGUCCUUCUAACCAAACACUAGCUCUCAUAGAGGAUAGUCAUUCUAACCAAACAGAUUCAUGUCAUCCAACAUAUAUGGUGAAAAAGAUUGAGAGUCCUCUAAUAGAUGAAGUUGAUGGAAACUUGAAACGGUUAUGGAAACUUGCAAUGAUUAAAUAGAUUUAGCUGAUGAAUAUCUUGAAUACUUUCAACAAGAUUAUAAAGUAGGGUUAUUCAAAGAGAGCGAAAUCCUUGUACUACAUUGCCACGACCAAUUCAAGGUUUCCUCAUUGAAAAUUAGCAGAUAUUUCAUGAGAAAAAAAGCUGGUUGAUACUUGCUUAAGCAAGUCAGUAGGCAUAGGACGACAUCAUUCAUAAGCAACAUAGAACCAACUGAAGCCCCAUGCAUCACAAAAAUUAGAGGCCAUAACUUACCUGAUCAUAUCAACAAGCUUCGAGCGUGAUAUUUUAAAUCCUGCACUAGCUAACGCAUCAACCCUUAACGAUGCUUCCACCGUUCUAAAUGAUUUAGUCCUAGUGUUGGACAGGAAAUAAAAUGUCAGAUUUAUCAGGAACAAGCAAAGACAAAGUCACCCAGAAUUUAGUAAGAAAAAAGUCGGAAAAAAUAUACUUAUCACAACCUUGGUGGCUCAUAUUCUAAGGCAAGCAAAGGUAUCUUAUUGCAAGAAACAGGGACAUUCCCAACCUACAGAAAUAACAAAAAAAGAUCCAUGUCAAAUUUUUAGAUUCUUAGGGAGAGAAGCACAAACAAAGUAUGCAAGUUACAUGAAUGCCAUGUUAAUAGUAAUGGAACUGCGAUCUCUUCCUGAGAUUUUCUACACAUAAAACAUGGUUGAUUAAAUCAACCAAAAAAGCCCAGAGAAUGUUCAUUCCUUGAGGGUGCGUUUGGUUCGAGUUAUCCUGACAGGAUUACAGACAAUCCUGUCAGGAUAACUGUGUUUGGUUAAUCCGCUAUGUAAUCUAGUCGUUAAUGUAGCAUUACAAAUCGAGCAAGAUUACAUCGAAAAUAUUAACGGGAGGGGGGUCGUGUAUCUUGCAUUACUGAAACCCGUUAAUACUACAUAUUAUGUAAAAUGACAAUUUUACCCUCCAACAACCCAAAAUCUAAUUAACAGUAUUAUUUUCAUCUCUCUAUCGCCGUCCCCAGGCCCUCUCUCUCGCACGCCGCUUUCUCUCGCUCUCUCUCUCGACGUCUCUCUCUCUCUCUCUCUCUCUCGCACGAACAUCUAUAAUCUUCUAUUGCGUCGUCCUCCCAAGUAAUCAUCACGAUCUCCUUCCCUCCAUUUGUCAUUUCCGUAAAAAAUAAUAUUCAAAUGACCACAACAAGGGCAAUUUUGGAAAAAACUAUACUUUUAUGUCAGGAUUACUAAAUUUUAUAAACUGAACCAAACAUAUUAAUGCUAUAAAUACUGUAAUCUAGUAUUAUAUUACUGUAUUAAACCAAACGCUCUAAUGCAGCAUUAGUAGUAAUCUCACGCCGAAAUCCAAAAUACCUAGAUAUAUCGAGAUACUUUGUAAUAUUACAUAACUCGAACCAAACGGGCCCUGAGAGUAAAGUUACAUCAAUGAGCCAGUUUCUUCAGUCCUCUAUCUUAAUAAACUUUCAUUUUUCCUUCUAAAACCAAUCUUUACACACUCUGUAGCUAUUAAAAUCUAUCCUUUUUGCUUCCAAGUAUAGAAAUUUGCCGCCAUUUCCAAUCAGUACUAAAUGAUUAUUCCCUCAUACAUAUUUCCUACUGCAUUUAAAUACAACACUAGAAAAAUGGAAGGGCAUUCACCUUCUCCAAUGCAGAAGUGAGGAAUUCAACGAGCUCGGGAACAACAAGGAUCUGGGCACCCUUGUCUCCCUGAAGAGUAGUUAAUGAGAUAUACAUGAAAAAUUUUCAAGAUAAAAAUUGCGGGUACAUAAUAAUUAUGAAUAUUUAAGAACACGCAACCUUAGACACACGGUUAUGAUGUACCUGCAAUAAUAUAUCUCCAACCUUGUCUCUCACAAUGCCAGUUCCAAGAAUUGCACCGAGGAAGUCACCAUGUGAACAGGAUUCAAACCCGAAAUUCCCUGAGAUACUGAAAAUGUAUUAUUUCAGCCAAUCUAAUUAAAAGACACAUGCAUUUAUGCGGUAAUUUUUAUAACACCUCAAUGCAGCCACUAUAUCAGUGUUAUCCAUCAUAGCGUCGGGAUGUCCAACUGAUAAGCGGCAUCGCUCAGCCUGAAAAGAAAAACAACAGAAUAAAAUUCAGAUUUAUAAAAAUGGAUUGACAAAAACAAACCAAUAUCUUCGAGUAAAGCAUAGUCAAAGAGUGGAACCUGCGGAUAGCCACCCUGUGAUACUGCUUUAAUAUCAGCCAGUUUUUCUAGGGCCGACAUAGUCUCUCUCACUACAGGUGGUGUUAGAAAAUCAGUGUGCAGAACCUCUCUUCUCGACGAAGCCCUUCGCGCCUUGUUACGAACAAAAUAAAUAAAUAACUAAAUAAAUCAGCAGCCGCAAAUCAAGAUAAAUUCCGAAAACACUACGACGUAAAUAUAUCAUUCAUUUAACACGAAAUGCAAAGUUUAUGUCGUCCAUCAAUAGAAAUCUACUUAAAUAAAGCACGCCCAAUAACCACACAUCACACAAAGUGGGAAAGUGCCUGGUUACAUAAGAGGUGCCCAUUCUUAAGCAUUUUGAGACACCUGUUAAUUAACUCAGUUUUUUCUACUUUCUUUUUUUUUUUCUGAAGAAUUAUGGGAAUGAUAGUAAGAAUAAAAGAACAUCAAUUCCAAAAAAUCAUCCUACUAAAUCUGGCUACAUAUUAAUAUCUAAGUCCAAAUUAUUUAAGCAAAAUUUGAGAAAUAAACCACAGUAAAUUACUCAAUAACCAAAGAGAAAAUGAGAAUACCACGUCGAGGACGUUCUUUACGGCCUCUGCUACAUUUCUAUCCCCAAUCCCUUUGAGCAAGGAGUCCCCACUCUGCCUCUGAGCACUCGCAACAUCGCAAAAACCUAAGAAAUCGCUAGCAAAGCAUUAGUAAACCCUAAUCCGCACCAAUCCGAGCGAAAUCGUACAUGAGGACUCCGAGAUUGAUGGUUUUUGGAAAGGGAAAAAGGAGGGAUCGAUACCUCGCGAGUAGCGGUGUUGGUGGAGACGAGGGUACGAGAGGAGUCGACGAAGAGCCCUAGAGGGGAAACGAGCGGCGCCGCCGAGGGGAAGAGCCGCGGCGGCGGCGGCGGCGGCGGCGGCUAUGGCCAUUGUCGCAGCUAAAGUGUUGGCUCCAUGGAGAGAGAGACGAAGCGGGUGUUGGGCGGAGAGGUGGCGUGAUAAGGCCCCUGUCGAGACUCGGGCUAGACCCGAAUCCAUACCCAGUGGAUUAAGAUGGUUCGACUCGAACCUAAUGAGUCAGAGAGAUCUCAUGACAAUCUUAUCCUACCAACAGAUUGUCGGAACUACCAGCAAGUGGUAAAAAAUUUAAUAAUUGAUAUUUUAGAUUUCAAAUUUGAAAUCGGUUUGUAUUUUUAACUAAAUUUAUUUUCUAAAAAAAAUGAACGAAAUGACAAAUAAAAUAUGAACUCUAACCGAUUAAAUGCAUACAUUCCAAUCACUAAUGAACAUACACUUGCUUCGUUUAAGAUAAAUUUUAUGCGCGAAGCUAUAAAAAAAUGUAUUAAAAAAAUACUACAAAUGGAGCUAAAUGUUUUUUUUAUCAACUAAGGUCCACCAUUGGAACAUUACAUCUCCCAAUUUAAGAAUUUGCUUUUAGCCAAACAUUCUAAUUAAAACUAUAGUUUACUGAAAGUAAAAUUCAAAAUAACAACAAACCAAAUAAUCAUAAAACAAGACUAAAGAAGCUUUAAAGCAGAGGAACUGAGCCAUGUGGCUACACACAUGACACAUAGGCGGAAAAACGUGAACGUGUGAGUCUAGGGACGGAGCCAUUUAGACGAAUAAGCCUGUAAUGUGACUGACGCCAUAUAAUUAUGUCGCCUCUAAAAUUCACAAUAUUUUUUUUAAAAAAAUAUUAUAUAUAUUUUUAAAAUAAUUUAAUUAGUUUGAAAUAUAAAUAAUAGGAAAACUUCAAAAAUCCUGCCUGUGGUUCCGCACUUUUUUUAUUUUAGUACUCUAUGCUUUAAAGUGUAUCAAGUUAGUAUCCUGUGGUUUCUCACUUUAUCACUUUAAUACCCUGUGAUUUAAAGUGCAUCAAGUUAAUACUCUGUGGUUUAAUUUUGGUAUCCAGUUAGUAUCAUGUGGUUUUAUUUUUAUAUCAAAUUGAUAUUAUGUGGUUUUUAAAGUAAUUGAUAUUAUGUGGUUUUUAAAGCAUAGGGUACUAAAGUGAUAAAGUGUAACCACAAAAUAUUAAAGUGAUAAAAUGCGAAACCACAGGAUACUAAGUUGAUACACUUUAAACUAUAGGGUACUAAAAUAAAAAAGUGCAAAACUACAUGAUACUAACUUAAUAUAUUUUAAACCACAAAAUAUUAAAGUGAAAAAAAAAAAACUACAGGAGGUAUUUAAAAUUUUUCCUAAAUAUUGUGAAACUGGUAUGCAGAAGACCGCCUUUCGGGCCACCACACCGCACGGAUCCGAGUUCGCACCGCUUCCUCGAAGAUAUCGCCGUGCUUACGUGGCACAAACACCACUCCACGUGAGACACCCACUUCUACACCGGCGUUAUCCCAAUCCCUUGCCGUCCCACACGUCUCAGAAAAAAAAAAAAAAAAUGACGUCUUUAACUAAUUAAAUAAUUAUUUUAAAAUUAUUCAUCUCAUUAUAAUUAUAAAAGAUAUAUUUAUUAUUUUUUUUAAAAAAAAAUUGAUUGAAUUGUUAUUGAUAAUGUAAUGCAAAUGUAAUACAGUAAAUUUUCUUCACGUCCCAAAAGAAGGAUUAUUGCGUGCACCGCGGUUUAUACUUUAUACACUAGACUCUUUUAAACUCAAAAAAUCUACUGAUUUUAUAUUUUUGAAUAAAAUUUAUUGGAUGUAAUCUAUGAUGCUAUGAAAUUAUAUACUUCAAAGAUUAUAUUUUUUAGUAAUCUUUAUUCCAUACAAUAAAUACUAAUUUUUAAUAAUAUAAAAAUAAUAAAUAUUUCAACAUUGGUAGUUUUAACGAAUACUUUGUAAGUUAUAAAUAAAUUUCUAAAAUUUAUAUAUUUUUUAAUGUAUGAACUAUUUACUUUCUGUACUAAGUUUUUAAAGGAAACGAUUUGUGUUGUUUAUAAUCACACGAUAGAAAAUUUUAAGACUAAAUUAUCGAAAAUCUCAUUGUAAAUAUUUACUUUUCUUUUUUUUUUAUGACUUUUAAAAAUCUAUAGUUUACCUCUUAAAAUUUUAAAAAUAUUUUUAUGAGGUACAACGUUAAUGAAAAAGACAAAAUGAUCGAAUUACCCUAUAUUCUUCUAUAAAAUAAAAUAUUUUUAAUAUAUUUUUAUUAUUUUGAAAGAUAUUUUUAAUAUAAAUUAUAAAAAAUGGACAGAAUAGUAAUAGAAUCCUAACAGAGAGAAAGUAAAUAUAAUAACUUAAAAUAUUGGAAAGGUAAAAUAUAAAUUUUUAAAAAUUAGAAAGAAAAUGUGAAAAAAAUAAACAUUUAUAAAAUAAAAAAUUGUGAAAUUUUAAUAUAUAAAAUAACUGUAUUACCGAUGAGUAGCGGAAUGCAUUUGUACUAUCUGAUAUAGAUAGUUGAAAUACAUGGGCCAAUAAGUCGUCAUUUUCUUCUUUUUUAUUUUUGUAAGCAAAAGUUUUUUUUUAUUUUUUUAUUUGUGCACGAUGUAUUUCUCUUUUAAGACCAAUAUUAGAGUGCCCAUAUUGUAGAAACCGUUCCAAAUGGAUGUGGCCGACUGACCUUGUGUGCUUCUUCAGGCAUGAUACCGACUGUUUUUAGCGCAAGUGAUAAAAAAGACUUAGUAAUUGAUAUUCGAGAUUUCAAAUUUAAAUUCUAAUUGAUUCACAUUUUUAGUUAAAUUUAUUUUUAAAUAAAAUAAACGAAGCGGGUAGCAUGUUAGCUAUCUCUGAGAAAAUUUUUUUUAAAAAAAACAACCUUCAGACAGAGGUCUACUAUAAAUGAGCGCCCGGUGUAUAGACGCGGCGCAACAAAAAUUCUACCCCUAGUGGGCCCCACCCACUUCUCUGUGGGGGUUAAAACGUGCCGUAUAAAAAAUGAGGCAAUCGCUGAAAGGAACCGUUCCCAUCUCUUUCUCCUCGAGGUAAAAUUGAAAAAAAAAAAAAAAAAACUAAAAAGGAGGGGAGAGGAGAUCUUUCUCUCCCGAUUUCUGCUCCCAAUCUUUUACCUCAAAGAUCCCUCUUUUAUAUACCGUAGAAUCUCAACCCAUUUCCAUUUCCAAUUCCAUUUCCAUCGCUCCCACCAAAAUCGCUUUCCAAGGGUCGCUCGCGGGGACCCCCUUCGUCUCCUCUUCUCCAUCCCCGCGAUCCGAUCGGGUCGCUCCUAGAUCGAGAUCUUUGGAUUGAGGUAACGAUUCGAUCCGUUUUACCUUCGAUUUGGUGAUUUUUUGCUGUUUUUUGCUUCGAUUUGUUGUGCAUGUGUAGAUCGAGAUCGGAUUGUGGUUUGAUGAUGCCGAUCGUGCCGAUCUGUGUUUUUUGUUAGAUCGGAGUUGAAUUCUCGUUUUGCAUUGUAGGAUGUGGAGUUUGAUGUCUCGAUCUGAUCGUUUUUUUGCGUGUAAUUAUCGUCUGUUUUUCUUUUUAUGAGUCGUGAGAUUAACUGUGUUGCGAGGUGUUUCUAGUACGGUUUUUUUUUUUGGCGGAGUGAAGAGAUUGAAUUAGGAAUCUGCUUUUUAAUUGAAGGAUUAUGCAUGUGUAAUCGAAGGUUGGUUAGGAGCUGUAAAACUUGAUCUAUCGAAUUUGUGUUCUAAGAAUCAUUUGAUCAGACUCGAUCAAGCAAAUUUGGUGCGAGGUAGAUUUUGCAAGAGAAAAAUGUCUUUGACGUGUCUGAGUUGGUUCCUUUUGCAUUAUUGAUUUGAAUGGAAGCAUGCAUGCAGGAAGAGAUAAGUGUCUGUAUGAAUCACUUCAGCAGGAAAUCCUUGUGGCAUUUUUAUUGAUAAGUUGCCAAUUAAGUUGCGCUUGAAACAUUAUGCGUUAUUAUCCCUUGAUGUUUGUCAUACAUGCUGUGAGAAAUGUAAAUUGAAAUUUCUUAAACACUUUCUCUGAACUAAGAAAAAGGAGGCGGUUACGCGGUUAAUGUCGCUCCUCCUUGUCUUUACUGGGUGUUGUUGCUGUUAAUUUAUGUUCGCCAUGACACUUUUGCUACAAAAGCAUUCAAAUAGUGUCUUCUAUUUAUCGUCAGAUAUUAUUUUCAUCUAAGAAUUAGAUUCAUGAACUAACUACCAAACAUGCAUCAUGUUAUCUGAACAUGCAUUCCCUUAUCUGUAAUAUGUGGAUAAAACAACUAUAUAGAAGCAUUCAUUAUCAUGAAUGCUUUAAGCAUUCAUCUGUAUCUAUUUUCUUCCUUUUUCUCGCUUCAAUAAUCUAACUUUUUAACAAGUGUGCAAUAUCCUGAACAUGAAAAGUUCUAUCUGUAUGUGCAAAAUUUUCAGCUAGUACAUUUAAGCUUGUGAACGGUGAUUAGCUUCACCACCUUGCUUCACUAUACUUUAUGUUUUGCAGAGGCUAUGGGUAUGGAGAUUCUCGGAGCUGAUAUUACAUCAGGACCGGUCAAAAUGGUUGGAGAGGAGAAACUUUCAAGUGAGAUUGAAAAUAAGGCUAAAACAAAUCUGGGGCAGGAAGAAGAGACUACAAACGUUGGUACAGUUGACGGCUCAAAUGGAGCAAAUGGGGAGUUUAAGGACAAGGAUAGUGCAUCUCAUUUCCCAAAGGAUGCUGUUGAUGAGUGGCCUGCACCUAAGCAAAUCCAUAGCUUUUAUCUUAUCAAAUUUCGGUCUUAUGAAGACCCUAAGAUGAAGCUCAAACUUGAACAAGCCGACAAAGAGAUUCAGAAGAAGAACCAAGCUCGUUACCAGAUAACUGAAGCCUUAAAGGCAAAGAGGGUAUGUAAUGCACUUGUGGCUGUUGUAUGACUCUCAUGAUAAUCGUUGGCCAUAACCUGAAAGAUGACUAGGAGGGGUCGUGUGGUUUAAGGUUUCUAAUAUUUUGGAAAUGUUGUAUAUUUUAUAUUUGGAAUAGCAAGUUUGUUAUUAACUUAUCAAGUCACUUGGGUUGUGAGGUUGUUAAGAAUUAGUAUCUUUUUAUUAAUGGACUACUAAUGAUUCCCAUCAAGUAUGAAAAUAAGGAUACCUCAUAACCCAUAAUAAUCUAGUAUUCCUACCACCUAAGAAUCUACUAUGAUUCUACUACUUCACUAACACCUUUUGCAAUUUCUCAACUUGAGUUGAAUACUAAUGUUUUGAAUAUUUUCAAUAGAAAAUAUAGAGGAUUAUCGGAAUAGUACAAACCAUGAACCAAGCAGGCUCUAAAUGAAGUUUGAUACUUUGUAACUUUCUUAAGUGUCCAUGCCCUCCAGUAGUCAAAUUUAGUGUGUUGAUUUUACAAAUUAUUUCUGCAACAGCAAGGAAGUCACCUGAAUCUUCAUAAAAAUCGUUACCUAUCUGAUACCUGUUUCUCUAUUCUAUGCAGUCUGAACGAGCUGGUGUUGUUGCCCAGCUCAGGCCUUUGACUUCAGAGAACAAGCAAUACAACGAAGCUAUGAAUGAGAAAAUGAAGGAAAUGGAGCCUCUCCAGACUGCCUUAGGCAAGCUCCGUAAUGCAAAUAAUGCAGUGAGAGAGAAGGGCAUAGGUUUGUGCUCUUCAGAGGAAGAACUUAAUGAUCUGGUAAGCCUGAAUUAUCUCAACAUUUUGGUGUUUCAUAUCCAAUUAUGGUGAGUGUGAUAUUUGCCUUUGUCUUAUCUGAGUAGAUUAAGAGCAUACAUUAUCGUAUCAGUCACGAGAGCAUAACCUUAGAUGAGGAGAAACAGCUGCUGCGUGAAAUUAAACAGCUUGAAGCAACAAGAGGAAAGGUGAUCUCUCAAGCUGCUAUGAGAGCUAAGCUGCAGGAUUCGUUGGGUCACAAAGAAGCUAUCCAAGACCAGGUUAAAGUAAGGUUACUUCCCGUCUAUUAUGUUUUCUGUCAACCAAGUAUCUCGUGCAGUAAUGUUCCAACCCAAAAUUUGGGAUUGGUGUUAAAUUUAUCGUGCCUUUUGCAGCUUGUAGGUGCCGACAUGGAUGCUGUCAAAAAGGAGAGACAAGCAGUGAGGGGAAAAAUUAAGCCUCUGGAGGAGCAACUAAAGGCCAUUGACGCGGAGAUCAGUUCUCUACAAGAUGAACUGACUUCUGUGAGUGAAAAGAAGGACAAGGCAUUUGAGAACCUAAAUGAGCUGAGAAAAGCACGUGAUGCAGCUGUAAGUAUCCAAUCUUACGCGCAGGUUAUAUGUGAUGGAAUUUAUCCACAUGAUCCUACUUGAAUUAUUCAGUAUUAUGAUAUGCUUGUUUUGUUCUCGUAGCUCAGACUUUGAUGUUGGCAUUUGUAACUUGCUUUUACUGCAAGGUCUGCUUCUUUUGUCUAGUGCCUUCUUCCUAGAGUUAUGGUGCCAUUACUUGAACCAUUGUGUCUGUCUUUCAGAGAAUACAUUUAUUUCAAACUGAUAGGAUUUAAUACCGAGUCAAUAAUAAUGCUUUCGGAAACACAUAUGAAGUGACCAUGUACGCUAGUUUUAAAAGGUUUGUGCUGAACCGCUGUUGAGCCUGACCAAAUUCUAGAAUGAGAUGGACAGCUCUUGAAAGAUUAAGUAACUCUUUUUGAAGUUUCCAGUUUUUGCGUAGCAGUAUAUUUAUCCCAACAUUGAUGAUGUUGAUGAUGGUGAUGAUGGUGGUGAUGAUGAUGACGAUGAUGGUUAUUACAAGGGUCUAUUUCUGCCAUCAUUCAUUGAUAACUGUCAUGGUUUAGAGGUUUCCUUAGGUUUUCAGUCUGUCAAAGCUUCCUUCCGGACAUUUAUUCAUAUAUGCAUACAUGCAUAGUACAUGGACAUAGCUACGUCCAUGUUUUAUUCUUGAUUACAUGACCUGUCAUCCUCCUGAACUCAAGAAUGUUGAUUUGUUCAUGAUGUGUCCAUGUUUCAUUUAAAUUGUACUAUCUGCUAGAACUUACAUUGUUUAUUUUUCUGGUUUUACUAUGUUUCAGAAUUCAUGCUACUUCCAAAACCGUUCACUCUUGAAUAAUGCCAAGGAACUCGCUGCAAAGAAGGAUAUAGCUGCAUUGGAAACACUUGCCCACAGCGAGGUGUCUAUUUAUGACAUGCUAAUCCGCUAUGUGUUUCAUUCAUCUUUAACCCUCUUGUCGUAACUUUUCUUUCUUUUACACAUUUUACACAAUAGGUAGAAAAGUUCAUGUUGCAGUGGAGCAAUGAUAAAGAGUUCAGGGAAGAUUACGAGAGGAGGAUAUUGCCAUCACUGGACAGCCGGCAGUUGAGCAGGGAUGGCCGGAUGAGAAAUCCUGACGAAAAGCCCAUCAUAGCUCAGGAGACUCGACAAAGUACAGAAGCCGAGGUGGCUCCAAUAAAAUCAACUGCAAAGCAGACAAAGGAGGCCGCUGGCCCCAUUUCACGAGCGGACUCUGCCUCUACUGAGAAGCUCCGUGACAAGGAGAUUGCUAAGGUGACUGAAGUUGAUUCGAAAGAGAAGAAAGGGAAUUUAGAGGAUACUGUAAAGAGCCAUGAUGCUGAGAAAACCCAGAAAGAGUUACCUAAAAAGCCGGAGAUUGAUGCCGAAACAUUGAAACAAAUGAAGAGAGACGAGCAGAUUGCAAAAAAUAAGUUGGCCUUGGAACGGAAGAAGAAGUUGGCUGAGAAAUCGGCAGCACAAGCAGCGGCUAAAGCUCAGAAGGAGGUUGAGAAAAGGCAAAAGGUUUAUUCCUCGUCACCUAUCCUUCUUUAUAUUUGAAAAUGUAUCUGGAUACAUUUUUUUGUGUAUUAAAUUACAUAAUCCAUCAUUUUAUUUUAUCUCAUUUGCAAAAUUUACUUAGCGACUUCAAUUUGAUGCCGACAUUCCACUAUUAUUUGCUAGUGAAAUUUGUCCCUUAUAGUUUGAGUUGGUGCUGAAAACUCACUAUCUAAUUUUGUGGUGAAUAUUACGGGCCCAUUAUAGAGGCUCAAUUUAACAUUUUGCAUUGAGGAAACUUUUGAAAUUUUUUUGACAAAAAAUCAAUCAUUGUGGACCAAAUUGCGAUGGGAAAAAAGUUGGGGGAUUUUUCUGAACUAAACUUUAGCUAGAGGAUCAGAGGGUAAUUAAGCAAAACUCUUUGUGCUUUUGUCAAUUAAACCCUUCUUUUUCCCUCAGGAAAAAGAAAAGAGAGCUAGAAAGAAGGCUGCAGCACAAGCACCUGGUGUAUCUGACGAGCUGAUUGAAACAGAAGAAAAGAACACUGAAGAGGCAGAAGCUAAGCCUGAGGUGGAAACCCUGGCUCCAGCAAAAGCUAAGGAACUGAAGGAGACUGUUAGGUAUAAAAACAUCCAAAAGAAUCAAAGUCAACUUCCAAAGGUUAUACUGAAGAGGAAAAAAUCUCAUCAGUCUUAUUGGAAAUGGGUGGCUCCUGCUGCGGCACUUGCUCUGGUGCUUGCCAUAUUUGCGUACUUAUACUUAUCGCGGGUGAACUAAAAUUGCCGGCUGUAAGACCAUUUUUGAUUCUGAAGCACACCACAGUUUUAAUUCAUAAUCAUCUGUGCUGUGUUGGACCGAUCUCAUGUGGUUCUUUCUCUAGGAAGCAGCAAAGAAAGUUUACUUUCGAAAAAGAUAUUCACAUAUGAUACAAUUGUUGUGGAUUGUAAUGUUUGGACUAAGUUAUUUGCGCUUGCAAUAUUUAUGUUUCCUUUAAUCUCGAUACUGUUACUUCCUACUUUGUAGUCGCAGAGUCAAUAAAACGUUCUAAAUAGCCAUGGGGUGCUAUGAUUGCUUAUUCUUAUCAGGUUGCUGGUGAGGAUAACAUGUCCUCACCAGAAUAAUGUAUUGACAGAUAAAAGUUGCAAACUUUAUAGUUUAGAAGUUUGUUCUUGGCAUUAAUAUUUGUGUUCGGAUACGCAUUUGCUUUUGCAGUGAAUUUUUAUUAAAUGGAUUGGUGAACCUGGCAUUCAGCAGCAUAUCCAUGGAUGAUUUGGGUUUUUUUUUUAGCUUCCUUUUCUUUUAUUUUCUCAAAAAUUUUACUGUGACACUCCAUGUUCUUUGUAGUGCUGGUGAGUGCAUUAUACGAGUUGCAGUUCUCAUGGUUUAAGAUCCAUAUUGAUUGAUGUCGACCUGAGAUUUUUUUUUUUUUUUUUUUGAGAGAAUUGUAACAUUUUACUUCAUUCAUGUUACUUCAUUCGUUUAUUUUUUCUAGAAAUAAGUUUAACUAGAAAUGUGAAGCAAUUAGACUUUGAACUUACCUAAGAAUAAUCAUAAUCAUCCCAAAGCAAUAGUAGGAAAAGAUUUAAAGAUUUUGCAGCAAUUGUGGAAGCAGAGAUGAUUUGCACUGGUCUGCACAGUGUGUGUGCAGUGUAAGUUUCCACUGGAACUGGAUCUGCACAGUGUGCCACUUAAUUUGUGUAUUUUCUUUUUUUUUUUCUGAUAAUACAGCUUUUGCAGCCCAGAUUCUCCUUCUAUCACCAGGUGCGUGGAGUGCACCAUUUUAUUAUAACUUACACAGAUCCCUUGCUACCGUAGUUUUCACAGGCAACGGAUGUGUAGAGAGUAUCACUUUGUAGUUUAUAUUAUUUUUUUUGAUAAUAUAGUUUUGGUGGUCAGAAUUUUGCUUCCAUCAACUUGUAAAAGUAUAUCCAACACUACGAGUAAAAAAUAAAUAAAAAAUGCGGACCACGUUUUGCUGAGAAUGGGGAAGGGAGUAGCCAGACACAGUCAGUUGCACAGUUCAUCUUCCAAAAGACCCCAACAUAUUACGAUGGCUGAUCUACAGCAUCAAUUGUGGUACGGAUAGAGGUGUCUCCUACAUCAGGUUAAGCCCACCACACAUAGAUCUGAAACAAAUUUGAAUUAUCAUGUUCGUAUGCUAAACUCGUAUCUUACGGCUUACAGAUCCCAAUAGAAUUCAUUUAUUUCUGAUUUUGAUAUCAAUGUAGAUCUAGCUUGAAUGCUCAAUUUCUGAAACUUAGUGUAUAUUUAGUCUCGUUUCCAUCAUUCUUCCAGCUACACCUAGAGACAAUCUCUAGUCGAAUGCCGGUAAACGGAAAACUUCAUUUCCGCCGGAGAUGCAAAAGCUCCAAUUGUCUAUUAUUCAAACCUUAUCUCUCCUAUCCUUUGAUGAGAGGGGGGCCUCUAACUAAGGUCUAAGAAUUAACAAAGAUGGCUCAAGCCAAGUUGCUACCAAUAGCGCUUCAAAUAAUCUUGCUGCUCUUUUUGUGUUCAUCAGCAUCAGCAUCAUCAUCAUCAUCAUCAUCAUCAUCAUCUCAUGAUGGGAGGAGUAGAGCUUUGCCACCAAUUUUUCUCCCACAAUUGCAUCCUUGGUUUGGUAAUUGCUGUGGAAGGAGUCAUCUGCUGCAAAUCAUGCAAGAUCAAGGGCUACGUUUGCUCCAUGCAUGCAUCCCCAGUUCCUGGUUUGGCUCUGUAACUAAUUUGCUUAUAGCUAUUAGUUCUUGCGUAAUCUCUUUCAGAGCGUGUGAAGCUACAGCAUUUGUCAAACGAGACACACAAAAAAAAAGAUCACUAGCUUUCUAACUCUGAAAUAAUUUUUUUUUUCUUUUUUUGACAAAGAGUGUCAGUCAGCAGGAAAGGUUGACCUAGACGUUGCUACAUUAAAAAAAGAGCCAAUUCGCUUAAAAGAAGGUCCACUAUGAAACAAGCUUUUACACCCAUAAUGAGGCUUUAGUUUAAAACUCGUGAGAGGCUCCUGAUAUUUAUUUCCGUGGUAACUUACAAAAAAAAAAAGUAUUCCCGCAGUAAUACAUCUCCUAUAUCGAUUUGUUUUGGAUCUAUAGAAAGGGAAAAAAACAAAAUCCAAUCGUUGUGAUUGUGUAUCUACCAUUUACAUUUUUGAUGUGGUUGCCAUUUAGCCUUUUUAAUUAAAUAUGUUUAUAACACUUCCUCUUUGCCAUACCAAAUCGACUCUAAAUUUAUAACAAAUCAUAUGUACAUCAAUCUUUAUAAUGAUCGGUCAUGCAGGUGCAGUUGCAAGGCUACUGUCACAGCCAAGGCCACACAUUAUAUUUUUGACAUAUAUCGAAAUAGAAAGUGAUGAAACUUAAGUUUCACCCUUCCACUUACACCAAAACAAACAGCCCUCAUAAGCAACCAUAGCAUUUUUUGAAAAAAAAAUAAAAAAAGGUACUAAUUAACAACUGGCCUAAAAACUAAGAAUGCUAGAUACGAACUAUCAAAAUCUCGGCCGACUGCGCUAGGUACAAUUGAAUAAUAUAAUUUUUGAAUAUCUUAAUAAUUUUUUUUUUAUGGCAAGCUAAACUAACUUUGUCAAAAGAGUCAAGAGCAAAAUAUACAAAGCCUAGUGUAAAUUUAUUAUAUUAAUUUAACUAGAAAGUUCAAUUGAGUGCCUAAAUCUAAGCAGGAUUAAAUGGACUCUUCCACAAUGACUCAUCUUUUUCGGGUUUGCUCCAUAAAUUUAUUUUAAAACAAGUGGAAACUAGUAUCAAUCCAAUUUACUAGAGUCAUUGUAAAAUUAAAUUGGGCUCUCGAUCUGAGUCAAUAUAUAGGUUACUUUUCACACACGGUUUGUUCGAAUCUUGAGAUCUCAAAUUCCUAUAAUCUUAUACUACAAGUUGGAUGUAUAUGAUAGUUAAUUAAUUAACUUGAUAUUUCCAAGGUAAAACUCUUAUAAUUAAUGUAUAUUCGCCGUGUUGGAAUUCACAAACUAAAUGUGUCUCCGCAUUCAACCAUAAUAUAAGUCCCUAUUUAGCAGAGGAUAAGCUUGUUCACAUGCGAAGACUUAUCAAAUAUUUACUAAUAUACAGUUAUUUUUAAUAUAAAUUCUAAUUACGUUGUUUUUCAUAAGAUCCUUCUUUUGAAUAAUAUGACUUGAUGAUGAUGACCGGUUAUUCACCGACACACCAAUCACAUCUCCCGGAAGAAUUAAAUGAUCCGAGCCCAAACUCCCACGCCAUGACCCCAAUCCCCAACACCUCCAUGCAUGGGUCAACUAACUCCAACACUAUUUUAAUACAUCUAUCUAAGCACACAUUAUUUGUUUAUACACUUUAAUCAACUCAAACCACCCCGGCCUAUAUAUAUAUAUAUUAGCUUUAGUGUUACCAUGGUUCAUUUCAAACUAACCACUCUUUUGUUUUCGCUUUAGAGGGCCUAAAUGAUGGCUAAUUGGCUCAGGUUGUUCACCCUCUCUCUUCAGCUUGCGCUGCUACUCCUAGUGUUUCUCUCUCCUCGGCGUGUCGUCGCCGUCGGCCUCCCGAAGCCACCCGUAAAGUUCAGCGUCGGAGUGGAGGGCAUCGUCUUCUGCAAAAGGUGCAAGUUUCCCGGCUACAACAGGGACAUGGAUGCAUCUCCUAUUCCUGGUUCGAUUUUCCCUCUUAAUAUUUUGUUUCGAAAGAAAAAUAGUAUACUAUUCGCCUUGUUCAUUUUUAGAAUUGAAUUCAGUUACAAAUGAGGAGCCAACAAGCGUUAAAUUUGAAAUCUUGAAAAUCAACCAUUAAAUUCUUAACCAACUGUGCUAGAUAUGAUCAAUAAUUUUUCUCCUAAUCUUGUAGGUAAAUGCUUUAAAACUUACUAAUUCUUUUGGUCGUUUAAUUUCUUUCAAUGGUUUAGAAGUUGGGCUGCAAAAACUUUUGAAUUCUUUGCAGACUAUAGUGCUUGCUUAAUCCUACUUUUGCUUUUAUUUUCAGUCGCAAUCAUAUUUACUAGAAUACAUAGUAAAGAAAAAUGUAUAGAAUUUCUACUAUAAGAGAAAGCUACUAUAAGAUUUUGAGCCCCAAAACAAAAGCUCUAAUUUGGAGUUUCUAAUUCUUUCGUUCCGAUCGUGUUCGGAUCAAACAUCGUUUCCUUUCAACAGUUGUGGGCUGAAGCCCAGCCCGAAACAUGCUGGAUUUUUGCACCGGGCCUCAAGCUCGGUGUGGGUCGGGCCUAACCAUGCUGGUUCCAUCUUAACUCCAAAUUACAACGCAUAUCACAUAUCUUUUCUCUGAGGAUUCAUCAUCACAUUUAAUCUUACUCAUGAAUAUGAAAUUUUCUAUUUUUCAUCCCAUAGGCGCCAUCGCCACUCUGCGCUGCUACAAUGGCAGACGAGCGGUCUCACUAAAGGCGAGAACCGACAACAAUGGCUACUUCUUGAUCCAGACGUCGAGCCUGACAACCUUCACAAGCAACAAGUGCAGAGUCUUUGUUAAACCAUCACCGACGACAUCGUACUGCAACAUCCUCGUCUACCCACGGAGUCCCGGGGCUUCCCUCAAGUUCGAGAAGGUUCUGAAGCUCCCCUUCGGCCUCGAGGGCCUCUACACCGCCGGCGUCUUCGUCUUCGCGCCAAGCGUCCCCACAUGUCCCUCUCACCCUUGAAUUAAAUUGAUCAGUAUGUAGUGAAUAUGAUUAAUUAGGGUGAUUAAUUUGAUGGUGAUGGUUUAAGAAGUUGCGAGUAGAUGGAAAUUAGAUAGUUAAUGUGGAGUGAAUAAAAGCUUAUGAUGUUCGAGUGAGAGCUCAAGGGCUAAAAUGGUUCGUGACAUGGGAUUUUUUUUCUCUUUGCGCAACUUAUUCUGAGUCAACUUGUUAUAUCGAAAUAAUUUUAGUUUGCAUUCAAUUCCUCUAUGUUUGUGUAAACUAACCGUAUUUUAAUGAAUAAUUUAGUUUGCAUUUUGAUCUUUCUUAUGAAGUUCUUAAGUUGCAUCUUUUGUGCACGACUCCAUGGUCUGGACUUUUGCAAUAUUGCAACUUAAUUAAAUAAACAAUUUUUGCUUAAAUAAUUUAGAUUUUAAUUAUUCUUCUAAUACAUUUAUGUGGCAUCUUAGACACAAAUUCUUUUAUAUCACCCCAUCAGAAAUAAGAUAAAAUUCGAAAAUCAUGUAAAAAAUUUAAAGAAAAGGAUAAAAAUUCAUGUUGCCCACGAGAAAAAGGGUCAUAUAUAUAUUGAAAACAUGGUAAAAUAAUUUUUUGUGGCCAACCGAAGCUGCUGUUGAUCCGUGCGAUCUAACAAAAAUUAGGAACUAAAUUAUUCAAGUAAAAAAUUUAUAAGAGCUAAGUCAUAAUUAAUGUCGCAAAAUAUAGGAGCUAUUCAUGCAUUUUGUCCCGAUCCCUUGUCUAUAUCUUGGAUCCUAUCGUUGCCUAACUAGCUAACUACGUAAGAAUAAAAUUUAGUACGGUCGGUUUUAAUGUUAGACCAUUUUAUCCGCCAUUUAUUUUAUUUACACUGGCCGAGUCCAAACACCCUUGACCACACGAUCCGGUCCACGAGCCGCCCCAACCUCUCUGCUCCUAGCCCGGGCCGGACCACGUUGGGGUCGGCCACCUCCGAGCACGGUGGCUCCCCCACACACCACCCGCCGGGGACAAACCCCCCGCUGUUCGACCGCCCAAGCAACUCCGAAUCAAUCAGGUCCAGCACUGGCUCACCGCGGUCGAACUUGCGUGCAAACGCGGCGCCGCUUUUCACCAUCUUGGGAAGGUCGGCCGCCGUGAGCGCGUUCGGGUGCUGCUUCGGGGGCACGUCCCAGGCGAUGUAGUGGAGGUCGUGGUUCACGACGGUGCGUUUGAACGUUUCCGCGUUACAAACCACUGUUUGGAAGUAGCCCUCCGGGGAGGAGAGGAAGUUGGUGUAAUACAUGAGGAGAGUUCUGGGGAGGUUGUCCCACCCCCAUAUGCAGAACUCGGCAAAGUCCCGGGAUAAAGCCACCCAUGCAGAUCCUGUUCAAAAAAUAUGUUAAUAACACUAUGUUCAAAUUUUGAUGUGUUGUCGUUGAGCUACGAAACUUCAUUGUGUUCCAAUUGUUCGUUACGAAGAACGAAUGAUGUAGCAGCUGAUUGAGUUGUCGCAUUCAAACUAAUUAUUUGACAUUUGAUUUAGUCAGUGUGUCAUCUUAAAUUAAAGUUUAGUGGCUCAGUUAUAACGAACUGAAUUCAAAUGAGGUAGAUGAAAUUCACUAUAAUUGGGUGAGCAGUGAUGCAAUUUACUCAAAUUUGUGGCGAAAUCAUAGAAAAUAUGUACCUGUAAAUAGUUUGAAUGCGUUUGGUAGUUCUCUUCUCUGGGUAACCCAGAAGAUAUCUGAUUUGCGAGUCAUGUAGAGUCCAGGAUCUAUUACCAUGGGUUUUGCCCUUUGCGUCCUGUAACAAAACCAAAUUUACUUAAUCAUUUUUAUCUUAUGGAGAAAAAAAAAAAAGAAGAAAUUACAAGGGCCAGUAAUUGAGACUUCAUACUUACUCCUUCCAACCCAAUCUACCUGUGUGCUCCACAAAGUUUAAAUUUCUCGGCAAAGUUGCAAAAACAUGCAGCAAAUCUAAAACCAUGAAACAAAAAGAAAAAAGAGAAAAAAAACCCCUCAAAAUUAGCAACCUCAGAAAGAAAAUGACCUCUAUUAAGGACUUGUUUAGAUGCACAAACAUCUUGUUCUUUUUUAAUUUAUUUACUGCUUAGUCACACAACAAUUGGCUGAUGAGGAAUAUUGAUAUACAUUCAUCACAAGAGAAUAAGCAAGCUAGUAAGUUACUUUCUCAAAUUAAGAUGAAUCAUCUCUUAAGUAAAAUAUAUCAUUCUGAAAAAUUAUGAUGUAUAGAUUUUAUAACAAUCGAAAAGAUAACAUCUAAAUUACAAAUUACGAAUGAAGCGAAUAGUAUGCUUUUUUUUUUCUGAAAUAAAAAAUCGGUUGAGCUUACCAUCUUGUGUGACAAGGGGAUAAUCCGAGGCACUGAGGUUGAUGAACCAAUCCCACUCCUUGCUCUUCUUGAGAAGAAUAGCACAAGCAUGCAGAGUAUUAGCAACCAUGGUUGCUCCUCUGUACGUAACCAUAUUAGCCUUUGCGAUAACAUGCACAUUCCCCACUUUAGCAAAAACGGUCUCAUUCGCGAUGCGCAAAGCGAGCUCCGAUCUCUCGGCGGCCGGCGAUUCUAAAUCCAGAUGAACUACAUACUGAUUUCUCGGAUGGUAAAUUACUUGCAACAAUCUCCAGACCCUAUCCAAAUCGCCUUUUGAUCCGGAAACAAAGUAGGCCAAGCGCGGAACGAAGGACAAAGGGGUCGACGGCGGUGGUGGAGCAGAGGAGGAGGAGGAGGAGGAGGAGUUGAUGUGUGAGUGGACAGAAGCUGUGUUGUUCGUCGAAGCCGUCGUAGAGAAGAUGGUGUAGAAGGAAGAGUUGCGGCCCAUGUUGAAUGAUGUAGCCAAGAGAAAAAUGAAGAGAGUGGUGCUGAAGAGGAAGGGGAAUACCCAUCUCUUGUCCAUUGAAAACAGAGGAAACAGAGGAAACAGAGGAGCUCUUGGGUUCAUCGAGCUCUUGGGUUCAUCAAUUCCAUUCCAUAUGCUUUGCUUUAGAUAAUACAUAGCUCAUUUUUAACAAAGGAAAUGGACAAAGUGAAGAAUGAUUCUAUGAGAUGAGUCCAUCAUAUCUGAGCAAAAAUCACAAGAAAAUCAAAUAAACGAAAAAAAACAGAGAGGUGGUGGUGGAGUUUUUGAUGGGAUUGGGUGUUUAUUGUGUGAGAAAACGCCAAAAACUUGGAUUCAGAUGAUAAAUUCGAUAAUUUGGGGAUGUGGGCACGUGAGUAAACAAGGAAAUAGUAACCAAAGGUAGCAGAGUUUCGCAAUAAAGUAGAUUCUACUUGAAAAAGAAGCAUGGAAAGGAAAGAAUAACAUCCAAUCAAAGGAACUUAUUAAUGCAUGGGGGGAAUAGGAGAACGCAAGGAGAAAACCACGGGAUUGAGGAGUGAAUAGGAGAAUUGAUUGUGGGGGUUACUCCAACCCUCAUAUUUAUUAUAAUUUCACAGGAAAAAAAAAACUUCAGCAGUAAGCGCCCCAACGACACCUCGUUGAGAAACUUUCAAUCUGCUGUCAUGUAUCAACUUUGUCUCUAUUCAAAAGUUAUAAUUCUUCUUUCCACGAUUCUUUCUUUUUUUUUAAAUUUUUAAUAUGAAAAAAUAUCUAACAAAUUUUUGGAUGAAAACAAAACUAUUAAAAAAUAUCUUAAGACUUCCCAUGGAGGUAUUUUUUGCGAGCUCCCCACUAAAAUUUUAUCCCAAUUUCACCGCCUUCGUUUUUUGGCUUAGGCAUAGUUGUAAGCCAUCUUUAGUAAAUACUUAGUAAAGAAAAAUUUUGAAGCUCUCAUGUCGAAAAAAGGUAAGGUGGGGGAUCCAGAAGCAAAAACACUAACCGAAUCUAUAUUUUUUACUUUUCUUUUCAAUAACAGUCAUUUUUAUUAGAGCAUUUGGUGUUAUGAAAUCAAAAAGCGAGAAAAUAAUCUAAUCCUACUUUAUGCUGUAAAACAGAUGUUACAAAAUGAUAAUUUAAUACAAUGUCCUUUUAUUCAAAAUAUUAUUUAGAUAAUGUUUUGUUCCACCAAAUAUCCUCUUAGAAGCAAUGGCUUGUGCUGUAUUAAAAAAAAAAACGGGGGGUUGGUGGGUGGGGUUGAAUAUAAGCUAGGAAUCAGUUUCUACCGUAGUUAAUUCGAAUUCAGAAAAAAUUUGAUACAGGUAUAAUUUGAAUAAAAUUUAUAUUUUAAUUUUUAAAUUUGUAGAAAAAUACGAUUUAGAAAACGGAUUCGUCAAUUAUUCGGAUACGCAAUUUAUACGGAUAUUAUACGUUCACCAAUGAACAAUUUGGGAUAAAAAAUUCAGCUAUUAAACUAAGCUUUUUUCUCUAGAUUUAUGCUACUAGCAUACAGAGUUAUAAAUUUUUAAAAAUAUAAAAAAAGAGAGUUACAAAAUAAAGCAGAUUAAGUAAAAAAAAUAAUAGUAAAUUUUAUUAUCGUCUUCAGCUUCAUCUUUUUCAUUAUCUACAUAUUUCAAAAGUUCAUAAAAUUUUUCAAUAAUUCGCGAAUAAUUUGCGAAUAAUUUGGAAAGGAAUUUUAUCCAAAAAAAUUGCGCAUUUUUUUUGGCUGAAUAGUUCGGUUUAUAAGUGAAUUAUUUGUAAAUAAUAAAUCUAAUCCAAAAAUUCGCAUAUUAUUAUAAUUUUUUAGAAAUAAAUUGUAUAUGUACCGUUUUAUUCGAAUUUUCAAUAAUUCAUGAAUAAUUCGCGAAUUAACUAACUUUGGUUUCUACUAUGACGCCCCAAUUUUUCAGGAGGUCAUCCAUUCUAGCACUACUCCAGUCCGAAUACACUUAACUCUCUUAAUCUCUUGAAUUUUAACACCAUCCAAAAUAUUUAAGUAGGGUUAAGAGUUCUAACCCUAUUAUAUUUUUUAUAUAGAACUAUGUGGAAUCUCACAUCUACUCUAGUUGUUAUGGGAUCUGGGCUACGAUAUCGGAGAGGCAACGGCAAUAUUAUUUUAUUUUUAGUGUUCACAUAAUUUUGAGAUAAUUUUUUGUUUGGAACCGUCGCUGCCAAAUUUUUAUUUAUUUUGCCGUCCACGUUAAUUGACCCUCUCUCAAAUCCUCUUUUCUGUCUGUUUCUAAGCUUUCCAUGUGUACAAUGCCUUUGAGAUUGUACACUUUUCCACUAACUGUCCCUAAAGCAAGUGGUAAAGGAUUUGGUGGUUGGUAACCGAGACCCAAGUUCGAAUCCUAAUUGAUUCACAUUUCUAGCUAAAUUUAUUUUUAAAUAAAAUAAAUGAAGUGGGUAGCGUGCUACCUAUCUCUCUCUCGAAAAAAAAAAAAAGAUUGUACGCUUUUCCCUAUGUCAGUAUGUCACCUCUCUUGUUCUCUUUGUUUUAAAAGCACCUCUUUGUGCCCUUUCUCUCUCAUCUGUGGGUAAUCUCAUGGCUCCCUCUCUCUCUUUGUCCUGUUCUUUUGGCUUUAGUUGCACUGAUAUUUAAAAAGGUUAUUAUUUGCUUUAUGAAUGGCAAAUUUAUUAAAGCUUCAAUCUGUGUGUUAUAAAAAUUAGUGAAAUUUUUUGUUGCAGUAAAAGAUAGCUUUAUUUUUUUUAGCCUGAAAGAAACAGUUAUUAUAGGAGAUUGCCGGCUAGAUGCUUUAUUAAUUAGAUUAUAAAUAAACUACUCUGCAAUCUAUUUGACACUGCGUUACUAAUAUGUUUGCAUUAAUUGUUCCUACAUUUGAGGUUUUAAAACUAUUAGAUUCUGAGUUCCAAACGAUACAUAAUUAUCACGAAAUGUUUUCCGCGUCCAAAUGAUGUGGAUAACAGGAUAAGUAAGUACGAUGCAAAUCCAUUUAAAGUGAAUGUUGUUCCAUUUUAGUUUGCUUUAGGAGACUUAUUAAUGCACCGAGUCCUAAACUCUGGAUCGUAAACAUAGUGGGAUUCAAAUUGAAUUGGUUACAACCUUAGGCCGAUGCUACCACAUCGGAAGGGCCUUUUCUCCACAUCCAACAAUUGUUAAUUGGCCCGUUAAUGACCUAGGCCCAUGUAUAUGGGCCGGGCUCCUCAUUAUUGGGCCUUGGCCCCAAUUAUUACUGACCCAAAUUCCCAUGAGAGCUGAUAUACUACAAUGGGGUAACAACAGAAGAUGUAGAGCGAAAAUUGCUGAUUUAUUGUAGGACAAGUUACACCUUUGGUUUUCAAACUAGGAGGGAACUGCAAACUUUAAGUUAUUAUAAUUUUCGGUUCGAACUUCUGUAUUUAUUGCAUUAAGUCUUUUGAUCCAAUUUAGUUGGUAAGAUACUGAUGUUUUGUUAAUAUGACUGUGCUGAGGCGUUUUAAUCAUUACUAUAUCAUCAACUACGACAUUCGCACAUUAUUGUCACGUCAGCAAUGUAUUACUGUUUAACUGAUUAUAUUUGAGCAAGAAAUUAUAAUGCAUUAAAAUUUGAGGACAAGAAGUGUUCCGUGUCUCUAGUUUGAGGGCCAAAAGUGUAAUUUAACCUUUACUGUACGAGAGGUUCAUCAUAUAUAAUAAAAAACUGGUAGUAUGUAUAGAAAUUUCUCAAUCCUUAUCCAAUCUUUAUUUUACGUACCUAGAGGUUGGUUUGAACUUAUUUUGAUUCGAAAGUUUAGUUUCAAUUGGUGGAAUUGUCUGUCUAAAUUGAUAGAAUAUUUAAUUGAACAAUAGAAUCGACGAAAGUUUACGGACUAAAUUGUUUAUACGAAAAGUUUAAAGACGGAGAUGUGAUAUCGAGAUAGUUCAAGAACUAUUGAUACAUUACACUCAACUUAGAACUAGCAAUUCAAAGGAAAUUACACUCGCUUCGAAAGAUGCAUUUCCACUAUCCGAAAACUACAUAUACUAUAGUACUAGGAUGAGGCAGGAUCAAAAUAGUGAAAUUUUUGUGGGACCUGCAGUCCCGCUAAAAUUAUGGUGACCUUCUAUUGCAUCAUGAUUCGAAAAAGUUGGACGUAGAACGGACUAGACGUUUCUGUCGUAACAUCAGAAGUUGUCACAUCAUACCACCUCAACAGCCGUGCAGUGCAAAUCGAACGUCAACAUCGAUGCCCUCGACUUCGGUACUCGCCUUCCUGCAGCCUCUGCCGCCGCGGGGAUGAGCGGGGCGUCCGUCGAGACUAUCCUUUCGGGCGCGGUGAGCCACUUAGACUGCAUGUACUUGUGCUUCCGCCACGGGCCCAUGUGCAUCCGGUUCUCCUUCAUGCACUGCUUCGCCGCCUCGCACAUGAUCUUCACGAUGUUCUUCAGCCUCUCCAACCUGCCCACGAAAAUCUGCGGUAGGCGGCUCACCAUGCCGCUGUAUUCGAUGCUAACCCUAGCCAUCUCAAACUCCGCUCGGAAGUUGAGCUCGAUCACGAUGCGAGUCGGACCUUUCUUCGCAUUCUUCGUGUCCACCACUACGUCGACAUAGCUGUGCUCCCCUGCAGAAUGUACGGUACAGAGCCAUUUAGUUUCACUCGAUUAAUUUAGCUAAGAUCCUUUGGACACAUUGGCUUCAUUUGAUUCCUCUUUACCAACCUGGUUACCGUAUAGCACUCACACAGUUAUUAAUGUUGUAAACUUUAAAAAUUUUUCACUUCAUAAAAAAUUACCUGUCACGACCUAAAAACGCACUCGUAUAUUCAACUUGUAAAGAAUUUUGUUUUGUUUUUUUGUUUUAAAUGAAACAAACUAUAUAUAUAAAGGAAAACUGUGCUUCCUAUUACUAGAACCAAUCAUAAACAUGUUCCUCAACCAUAUAUAGCUUAAAAGGGACAAUUAUCUGAUCAUGGUCACAACUAGUCAUGUGUCCCAUGUGAUGUUACAAUAUUAUAAUUAAUGUCACAUCAAUAAUAAGAGAAAAAAAAAACCAAAAAAAAAAAAUCAUAGGAUAUGUUUGCAGUACCUGAGGGAAUAUCCGGCGAUCGCCGCCACUUGGACCUGCACAGCGCACUGUUGUAUCCGGCGGCCCGAAGCCGAUCGGCGAUAUGACGCAGCGAACAAUUCCGACAAUCCCUGGCCCCGCGGUUCGCACAGGAGCAGGCGAAUCCGCCAGAUAGCAUAUUCCUCACGGCUUCCUCCGUAUCCGCCCGUAUUCUACUCUCCGCCGUGCUGGUUCGUGCCAAUGCUUCCUAUUAGCCACAUAUUUCGUACACCUAGAUAUUAAUUACUGAACCGCCCAUUUAUAUAAAGCAAAAUAAAAAUAAAAAAUAAAAAUAGAUUUGUAUUAUUUUUUUUUGCGUAUCAAAAUCAUUUCUUAGCGUGUUUAGAUGUUGGAUCGAUCUUUCUAGAUAAACAACAUGAAUUGUUUUAACAAGAUAGCAGAAACUGAUCGAUCAGGAGAAUGUAAAAGGUUUACUUGGAGGAGCUGAUCUUGGGACUCCCAGAAAGCCUUUCUCUCCGCAGCAUUCGCGGUGGAUCCUUCACCGUUGUUGCUGUUGUUGUUGUUGUCGUUGUCGUCGUUGUCUCUGUUAUCAUUGUUAUCCCAAGAGCGCUCCCCUUCGGUUUCUUCGAAGAACCCUAAAACCAUAUCCGAUAAGCUCAGGCUCUCCCCACGAGUACUAUUUCUCAUCUCCCUCCUCCUCGCCUCCUCCAUUGUUGUAUAAAACUCUCUCUCUCUCUCUCUCUUACUUUCUGUGUUCUUGGAUUAGUAAACCUUAUAAUUGAGCCGUUAUAUAUAUAUGAGGUCUCCAAUCGGGAUGGGCCCCAUCGUGCUGACGUGGACGAACGGGUCGCCGCGAUCGAGCCGGGUGGAACAGCGAAGGUACCGUGUGCGCCCGCUUGGUAAGAUUAGGUGGGCCACGUAUGUACGAAGGAAUUAAUCAUUCCAUGCACCGUGUGAAUUCGGUGCACACUAUUUAUCAAUAUUUGAUGAUCAGUAUCUUAAAUACAAAAUCUAGAUUGAUAGAUAAUUAGAUAAAAUCUAUUAUGCUUGUGAAAAUUCAUAAAAAUUUAAUAAUUUAUUAACUAGCUUAAUGUAACUUGAAAUAUAUCAGCAAGCUAAAUAGUUUAAUCCAAAUUUACAAUGUUUGAGCUGAUAAUCUAUAUAUUCAGCACUUUUAGAUGGUUUGAUAGGUUGAAGUUAGAAGCCUAAAAAUAUUCAUAAUUGAAACCUCUCGAUGUAAAGAUUGGCUCUGAAGGUGCCAAGCUUGAUACAAGUUAACAUUUCAACACUUUAUAAUGUCGGUGUAUGAAAUACACUUGAUGCACCAGGUGCAAGCAACAACUGCUUGCUACCUAGGAGAGAUAUACAUGAUGAUGUAGCGUAAGAGUCAAAAGUGGCACAGCGAUGAUCCACGUCAGACACGGUGUCCGGUGGCUCCAAUUAUUUUUGGUGGGGCCCACUACUGUUCCCCCUCCCAAGCUCCCUACGGAAUAUUCCGUCCCCGUUACGCUCCCUCUCUGAGGGAAAAAUCUCACGUGGACCGAGUCCACUACUGUUCCCCCUCCCAAGCUCCCUACGGAAUAUUCCGUCCCCGUUACGCUCCCUCCCUGGGGGAAAAAAUCUCACGUGGACCCAGUCCACCACGUCAGCCAAGAACCAGCCUAAACUUCUCACCUUAAUGCUUGGUUUGGGAUUUUGCAUGCAGAGCUUAUUGCAUCCUCUCAGAGAAGUGCAGUAAAUCAUUACACAAAUUGCAAAUAUUUGGUUAAGAUAUGUAAUAUCCAUCUAACACUUUUUCUUUUUUUUUUGGGUUCCGAUAAAUUUUAAAAUAGUAAUGCUUGUAUUGGAACUGAAUUUGAUAUUGAUAUACAAAUAGAUUCACUAAAUUUACGUAGAAAUGCAUAAACAUACAAACUAAAACUGUAAAUAUAAACGUGACGCAUUCACAUUUUGAGAUUAAAGUAUUGUUGACCGAUUCAAAUUAAACAAAUUAAAUAAUUAAAUACUAAAAUCAAAAUUUUAAAAAUUUGAAUAGCUACAUCAAAGUAAUUCAUAAUUAAAUAUGUUUUUAUAGAUUGUUACUUUAAAUUUAGUCACUAGUUGUAAACUAUAUAAAGUGAGAUGCUCAAACAGCGUAUAUGUUCCGUAUAGGAUAAGCGAGAGGGUGAUUCUUGCGAGAAUGAAUUCCAGUUCUCUGGUGGGGCCCAUUCCCCUCCCCGAAUAUGCUUAAGAAUAGAGAUUAUCCCAAACGUGUUCCAGCUAAUCUCUUGGAUUAUCCCGCAUCUAAUUACUGUUAAUAAACACCGCCAAAAUUGUGCAACUCCCAUCUCAUCCUCAUAAACAGGCUUUAAACGGAGAAAGUAUUGGCUGCACCUGGUGCACCUCAUCAGCUGUGCACCACAGUUCCAUUUCUUUUUUCGCUUCUUUUCUUUUUCCCUUUGGAUUCCGUCCAAUAUUUUGGGAUGAUUAUUUUAUGUACGGUGAGAAGUUACAUUACAAAAUUAUUUUAUUUAUUUUUAUAAUAAUAUUACAUUAUGCAUAUCGUAAUAAAUCAGUUAUAAUAUAUUUUUUAUAGUUCCAAUAAUAAAUAGAAAAGAAUAUUUUUAUAUCAUUUCAACUCUAUUUUGCCUAAUAAUAUUAGGUUGCGUUUAAGACAAACAGGCCCUUAAUCUUCAACCCAUUAUAACUCUAUAAGCUUAUAAGAAUUUAAUUAAUUCGGAAAAGAAUAAACUAUAAAUAAUUCUCAUUUAAUUCUUAAAAAAAUAGAAUUCACUUGAACUCUGAUUUAAUUUAAAUAAAAGAUAAAUUCAACUAAAAUUUUCUUGUUUUGAAUUUCUGUUAACAGCGAAAUUGAAUUGGAAAAAGUAAUUGUUGCGAGCCAAUUCCAAACCAACAGUAAUUUUUAUUUGGGAAAAUUUCUUCAAUACCCUUCCAAGUAGUUCUAAUUUCAUGAAUGCCCUUCAAAAUUUAAAAUUUUCAUAUUUGCCCUCCAAAAGUAUGGAAAAGUUUCAAAAAUACCCUCACUGCUAGCAAUCUGUUAUAUUAGCUUCAAAAUACCAAUUUUACCCUCUAUUUUAAUUUAAUCACCACUCUCACAAAUUAUUUUUUGAAUAUAUGGAGACCCCCUCAAUUACAACCCAUUGUGAAAUAGCCUCCUAAAUUUAACUUUUUAAUUAAAGUCUUCUUAAAUUUUAUUUUCUUAAAUUGAAUGAUUUUUUAUUAUUAAAUUAGAGAUUUUAUCUAAUCCAUUAAUGAUUCAAACAAAUUUAAUAAUUUUAAUAACUUCGUAAUAUAUAAAAUUAAAUAAGUUUCUAUUCAAAAAAGAAAAUUAAUAAAAACUUCGAGGAUUUACUUAUGAUAGUUUUAGUAUAAAUAUAAAAAAAAUUAGUGAAAAAAGUUUGAUUUUUUAACAAAAAGUGAACAAAUUAAGGGUAAAAUUGUAAUUUCAUAUUUUGAAAUAAAAUAAAAAAUUGCUAUGUUAACAGUGAGAGUAUUUAUGAAAGAAAUAUUGUAUUUAGAGGAGUAUUUGUCAAAUUUAAAAAAUUAAAAGGGUAUUUAUAAUAUUUUAUAAUUUUGUGAGGGUACAAAUGAAAUUAACUCUUUUUAUUUUAUGGGCUAAAAAAAUGCUUUUGAAAAUAGCAGUUCACCGAUAGGAAUUAAUAAGCUAGUGCGGCGGACGUACCACGUGUAUUGCGAGAAGCGAACAAUAACUUUAUUUUUCGGUGGUACAUAAAAAUUAUUGCCUGGACUUUUCAAUUGCUACCAAACAACCAGUACGAAUUGCAAUUUUUUGUUUUCAUGGUGAUUAAAAACAAAAUUAUAUUUUGAAGAUGCUUUAGCAAUGGAAAGAAGAGGCGAGGUGAAUGUACAGCUACUUUGGGCGGUCUAUGGCUGACGUGGUGGACUUGGUGCAGGCUUAAUUUCGUGCGAUGCAGAUGAGAAGGCUCACCUUUCCCCCGUCUGUGAAAUACGAUAUUAACAGCUCAACCCUCUCCGGGAUACAUGUACAUUAUAUUUAACUAAAUUUAACUAGAUUUAAUAAAUCAAUUAGUUAACAUUAAAAGCAAUUAGUAUAUGCUAAUAGCACAAUCCCAAAAAAAUUGCAUACUCUUAAAUAUAUUUUUCACCUCAUUUUUGUAUUUAAAUUUUUUUCAUAGCUUAGAAACGAUGAAUAGUCGUAUGAGAAAUGAUAUAAAUUCUGCGCCUUCUCAUCCAAAAAUUUGGACACCCUUUGUAUAAUGUGUGAGUGCUUAUCAUACCAAGAUACGUAAGAGACAAUCGUCAUCUUAUGGACUUAGCAUAUUAUAAACUUAAAAUUUGUGUGACUAAUGAGACUAUAUAAUUAUUUGUGCAUGCUUUUGGAAGCACGGAGUCUUUCGUACUUCCAGAUUAUUUUUGAUGUUGCGACUUUCGAAUCGUCGAUCGGUUCCGUUAAACUUGAUCUAGAGUAUUUGAAGUAUCAAGAAAAUAAAUUUUAUGAUUUUUUGAUAUCAUUUACCUAGUGAUCGAAGUGGCUCAAAAUCAAUAAUUUUAAUGACCGUAGUGAGCCGUUUGCAGGUUUAACGGUGUAUAAAUAUUCAAAUCACGUGAAAUUUUGAUAGAAAAUUUUUUAUACUAUAUAAAAUAAGAUCAAUAUCUUUGAUCUAAAAUUUUAAUGUCAUAUUAUCACGUUUUGUAAGAUUUUUAUUUUCAGCCGUUGAUUUUGAGCCCCUUCGUUCACUAGGCAAAUAAUAUUAAAAAAUCGCAUAAUUUAUUUUCUAGAUACUUCAAGUACUUUAGAUUAAGUUUAACGGAGCCGAUCGACGAUUCAAAAGUCGCAAUAUGAAAAACGAUCUGGAAACACGAAAGACUCCGUGCUUUCGAGAACAUAGUAGCCUCACUCUAACUAUUUUAUAGUUUUUGAACUUCUUAAGCUAACUCAUUAAGCCAUGCUGUAGCCUUGCCGACAUAAUGCUAAAAACAUAUCACAACUGAGAUACUCCGAUUGUUGGCAUUUUAGCAAGCCAAAUAGGCUCACCGAAUGGCAAUAGGCAUCGGAUAAAAGGGUCCCACAAUAUGUAUAGUGUGUGGCGUUCAUGCCAAUUCGACAAGUCUAUUCAGUAGCACGGAAAAAAACUAAAAUCAUUCUCCUUAGAGAAUGGUGAGAAGUCUUUUUCCAUAUACCUAAUUUUGU
rnacentral:lncRNA from 1 species